UAAUUUCAACCAAACUAAAACUUGGUUAGCAACUAUAUUUGUUGUAACGUAUGAAAAAAAACUAUUGAUACACCCUGAUUACUGCCACUGUCUCUUAUCCGCACAAUAAGGCGUCGCCGAAGGUGUGGCCGAUGGAUUCACCGUGACCUGCGUUCUUUCCUUUCGAGUUGCGGACAUGAAUUUCACCAUCACCAGUUUUACCUUCUCCGUAGUCUUCAUGACAAUCAAGAAUAAUACUCGAUAAAAAACAACCAUUGCAAAUAAGAUAGCAAGAUCAACCCACUUAGAGUAUGCCGUUUCAAAAUGCCAAGUUUGCUUCAAAAUUUCUUCACCAGUAAUGGUUGGCGACCCUCCAUUUCCAGCUUCAGCAUUGGGAGAAGUCAAGCCUAGAAACUCGUUCUUAAACAGUCCCUGAUAGGCAUAUUUGUGGAACACAAUGUGGUAGAAGGGAUAUUUCAACAACGGCUUAGGAAGAUCAGUGGGUAGUCGGAAGAAUCCGCAGACCAAGAUCAUUAUACCUUGAAUUCCAUCACCUACUAUGAUUCCCAUCAGGAUAUUGGGUACCACACUUGCCACAAUCAUCAUUAAGCUCUCCACCAACAUCAUGCAAGCGAAUAAUAUGAUGACGAAGAACAAGAAAUGUUGAUAUCUAUGGUGAAGUCCUGGAAGGAAAUAUGUAAUUGCGUCUGGAAUAAGUGCGACGAGUGCCAAGAAUGGCAGAGCAGAUAACGUAUUUCCGAUGCCAAAAGGAGUGACACCGUAGUGCCCAUUUAGUCUUUCACGUUCGAAUACCUUCAUUUCCUCUACAAAAGAAGGGAAUCCAACAAUGGCCAUGAAGGUUAGAAAUGAUGCCACAAACAUCAUCAGUGAGCCUCAAGCCUGAAAAAAAAACCCUUAUAUGAUCACUUGCAGUGUUGAAAUCGAUCAAUCAGUAUUAUGUAUUCAUAUUACGAACCUGGAUUGUUCCAUUGUCCACCCCGAUGUGGCUAAACAUAGAGCCAAGUACAAUAGAAAGUGAAAUGUAGAUACCUAGACGCAACCAAUAGUAGCCAAGGUCACGAGACAUGUUUGUGAAAGAUCUUCUGGUAAGGACAUGGCAUUGGGUGAAGAACCCAGACUGCCUAUUAUUUUUCUACAAUGCUCCACCACCCUGACAUGAAAAUCCAACAUCCAAUAUGUUUAAUGCCUUUUGGAUUAUCUAUUUUAAAUUCUGUUCAGAGAAAAAAAUAAUGAGCUGUUAUAAACCUGACAAAUCUGAGCUACCUCUUUCUGAGCCAUUUGGUAUAUAUCUGAAGACUCAUAUGUGUUGAAAAAAAGGCUGCUGCUAAAAAAAACAGAACAAAGAACUGCAACGGAAGUAAUGGGAAUUUAGAGAAAUUGAUAACAGUGAUACAAAACACUUUAUUCCAUGAAGAGUUUAAAUACUGAAAUAGCUAACAACUUAGAGAUAUAUUAGGACUCUAAUAGAAUCUUGAUACAUCUCCUAAAUAAAAGAAACACUACUGGAAUUAAAAACAGACUUACAACAGACUUUGACUGACUCAACGUCUAAAUUAUUCAAUCAGUAAAUAAUUUCUACAUUACCCAUUAACACUCCCCCUUAAGGUAGAAACUCUCCAACACCUAACAAUUCUCUCAAAUAAAUGAACUUCUUCGGUGGAAGUGGCUUUGUGAACAAAUCAGCAACUUGUUCUUCAGUGCAACAGUGCUCCAACUUGAUAUAUCCCUUUGCAACCAGCUCUCUUAUGAAAUGAUGACGUGUUUCAAUGUGUCCUGUUCUAUUGUGAUAAACAGGGUUUUUUGUCAUUGCAAUUGUUGACUGAUUAUCACAAUAGAUGGUAGUUACCUCCACUUGUGUUUGCUUUAAAUCACCAAGAAUUCUUCGUAUCCAGACAGCUUGACACGCAGCAGCAGUAACAGCCAUAUAUUCAGCCUCCGACGAUGAUAACGCAAUUGCUGGUUGCUUCUUUGAGCUCCAUGAAACAGCUCCGCUACCCAUAGUAAAAACGUAACCAGUUGUACUCUUGCGAUCUUCAAUGCAACCACCCAAAUCACUAUCUGAAAAACCAUACAGUUUUUGAUUGUUAGAGAAUUUAUACCAUAUUCCAAAUGAGCUUGUCCCCUUCAAAUAGCGCAAGAUUCGCUUGGCAGCUCCAAAGUGAUGCUUGCUUGGACUCUGCAUAUAUCUAGACAAGAGACUUGUUGCUUGCAAAAUAUCAGGUCUACUAUUUGUUAGAUACAACAGACUCCCAAUCAAACUUCGAAACAAUUGACAAUCAAUUUUCUCUCCCCCAUCAUCUAAGCAAAAUUUUUGAUUGGUGCACAUUGGAGUACUCACGAGAUUGCAGUCCUUCAAGUUAAACUUUUCAAGGAGAUCAUUCACAUAUUUUUCUUGAGACAUAAAAAUACCUCUGCACAUUGUUUAAUUUCAAGCCCCAGAAAGAAACUCAUCAACCCCAAAUCAGUCAUUUCAAAUUCGUCUGUCAUCAGCUUUUUAAACUCAUUCAACAAAGCACUACUAUUGCUAGUAUAAAUCAAAUCAUCAACAUAAAGGCAAAUAAUGAGAAUCUCAAAAGUACCUUUACUUUUCACAUAUAGAUUUGGCUCACUGGGACUUCUUUGAAAGCCAUUAUUGCUGAAAUGUCCAUCAAUUCUUCCAUACCAGGCUCGCGGCGCUUGCUUUAAGCCAUAUAGAGCCUUUUUCAACCUAUACACUUUCUCUUCUUGAUUUGUAACCUCGUAACCUUUUGGUUGCUGCACAUAUACUUCUUUUUCUAAGAUCCCAUUUAAAAAGGCCGACUUGACAUCGAACUGAUAAAUUUCCCAACUUAAUUGAGUUGCAAUUGACAAAAUAACACGUAUGGUGUCAAAUCUUGCUACCGGAGAGAAAGUUUCUUGGAAAUCUAACCCUUCACGCUGCAUGUACCCUCGUGCUACCAGUCUUGCUUUAUGCUUUUGAAUGGAACCAUCAGCCAGGAAUUUAGUUUUGAAAAUCUAUUUUAACCCAACAGCUUCUUUUCCAUUUGGAAGAUCUACUAAUUCCCACGUCUUGUUCCUUUCCAAGGCUUUCAUUUCAUCAUCCAUUGCAUCUCGCCAUUCCUUGGAUUUGAUUGCUUGUUCAAAGACAAUUGGAUCUUCAAUUUGGGUGAAUUGGCAUUGUUCAGUGCUUGCAUAAAUUUCUGCCAAUGAUCUCCAUUUUCUAGGUGGUGAUUCUGAUAAAGAAGAGCUUGAUGAAGUGGUAUUUGGAAUUACUGAAGGACUGUUUGGUGCUGAUGAGAAAGAACUUCCAUCUUCAUUUUCUUGACUCGGAUGAGUGUCGAGACAUUCACCAACUUCAAGUAAUGCUUCUGAACCUGCUUGUAAUUCCUUCCAAUUCCAAGAGCUUUUCUCAUCAAAAACAACAUCACGACUAAUUAAUAGCUUCUUAGAUAAAAGAUUAUACAAUCGAUAUCCUUUAGUUUCAGAACUAUACCCAACAAAGAUACAUUUAGUGCUAUUAUCAUCUAACUUUCCUCUCUUUUGAGAUGGAAUAUGCCCAAAUGUAAUGCAACCAAAAAUUCUCAUAUGAGUUACCUCAGGUUUCCACCCAUGCCAAGCUUCAAAUGGUGUUUUUUGUUCUAGAGCUGCUGUUGGAGAUCGGUUGAGGAUGUACACUGCUGUGUGAAUUGCUUCUGCCCAGAAACUUUUUGGAAGAUUUUUAGCUUUAAGUAAGCAUUUUCCCAUCUCAACAAGACUUCGAUUCUUCCUCUCAGAGACUCUAUUUUGUUGAGGAGUGUAGCUUGCUGUUAGCUGGCGUUGAAUGCCAGAUUCUUCACAGAAUUUGUUGAAUUCAGUAGAGAGAAAUUCUCCACCACGAUCUGUCCGUAAGGUCUUUAUAGGCUGGCCACUUUGUUUCUCAAUACUUACUUUAAACUUCUUGAAAACUGAAAGAGCCUCUGAUUUUUCUUUGACAAAGUACACCCAUGUCAUUCUACUAUAGUCAUCAACAAAGACUAAAAAGUACCUGUUGUUAUUGAGAGAAAGUGUUCUCAUCGGCCCGUAAAGAUCAGUAUGAAUAAGUUCAGCAAGUUAGGAAGCUUUCCUUGCCUUGCCCUUUGGAAAUGAAUCUCGAUGUUGUUUCCCAAAUAUACAGCUCUCACACACAUCACCAACAUUUUUUAUUAGAGGUAAACCAUCAACUAAAUUCUUUUCAAACAUGAGUUUUAAACUACCAAAAUUUAAGUGCCCAUAUCUGUGAUGCCACAACCAAUUUUCAUCAAAUGAUUUCGCCUUCAAAGUAAGCUUUUCAUCAAUUGCGAGAUUAUAAGGAAAAAUCUUAUUUUUUGCCAUUGGAACACUCGCUAACAGGUGCUUUUUCGAUUUAUCCUUAAAAAUGCAGCAAUUGAAUUCCUCAAAGACAAGUGAAUACCCAUCCACCAUAAAUUGCCCAACACUUAGCAAAUUAGAAUCUAAGUCUGGAACAUACAAAACAUUAUGAACGCAAUUAAGACCUAGGGAAUUCAUCUGUACCGUACCUUUUCCCUUUGCUACACGAACAGUUCCAUCACCAAGCGUUAUUCGACUAGUUACUGACUUAUCUAAGUUGCUGAAGAGACUUAAUUCACUCGUCAUAUGAUUGCUACAACCACUAUCUAUGUACCAAACCUCAGGAGAACACUUCUUAGCACUAAAGCAUGCAACGAACAAGCUCUCUGUCUCAUCUUCUUCACUAUCUUCAUGAGCCAAGUUAGCCUGCUUCUCUUUAAGCUUGCAAAACCUCUCAAUGUGCCCGAACCUUUUGCAAUAGUAGCAUUGUUUUGGACUACUAUUUUCUCCUUUAUCGUCAUCUCUAUACCGUUGGUUCUGUCCAUUGAAUCGUCUACCAGCCCUACCUCUUAUUCUCCCACGAGAUGAAUUUCCUCCACGCUAGUCAUUGAAGUUUGUUUCGUUGGUGCCCUUUCCACCACGAGAGUAUUGCGACCUACUAUAAAAGGCAUUCUCAACAGACACAUUAUCAUACCUUUUCAUCCUAUCAUCAUGAGAAUAAAGAGAGCCUUGCAACUCAUCAAUUGUUAACACACUCAAAUCUUUUGAUUCUUCUAUAGCUGCAACUACAUGAUCAUAUUUCCUCGGUAAACUCCUAAGAAUCUUCUCAACUACCCUUUGCUCACUUAAAUCCUCACCAUUUUUUCGAAUUUGAUUCACAACAUCAAUUAUUUUUGACACAUAAUCAUCCAGAACAUCAUCAUCUUCCAUAAUAAAAUUAUCAAACUUCCUACGCAGAGUUUGAAGUUUGACAGUCAUCACCUUUGCAGUACCUUGAUAUGCCGUUCGCAGCGUGUCCCAUACUUCUUUCGAACGCGUCACCGCUUCAAUGCGAGGAAAAAUUGAUUCAUCUACAGCUUGUUGGAUAAAAAACAAAGCUUUAGCACCCCUCUUUCUUAUAUCUUUGAGAGUCUCAACUGCUGCCUCCUCUUCAUCGUAUCCAUUUUCCACCAAGUCCCAUAGGUCUUGGGACAAAAACAAAGUAUUCAUCUUAGUGCUCAAAACUCCAUAGUUGCUGCCUUGAAAAAUUGGAACCAACGGCUGUGAGAGGUUCACUCCAUUCUGAUUGCUUACCAUCAUAAGUUUGAACACAGGCCUCGAGUAGCUCGGAUACCAGAUGUUGAAAAAAAUGCUGCUGCUAAAAAAAACAGAACAAAGAACUGCAACGGAAGCAAUGGGAAUUUAGAGAAAUUGAUAACAGUGAUACAAAACACUUUAUUCCAUGAAGAGUUUAAAUACUGAAAUAGCUAACAACUUAGAGAUAUAUUAGGACUCUAAUAGAAUCUUGAUACAUCUCCCAAAUAAAAGGAACACUACUGGAAUUAAAAACAGACUUACAACAGACUUUGACUGACUCAACGUCUUAUUAUUCAAUCAGUAAAUAAUUUCUACAUUACCCAUUAACAAUAUGACUUCACCAGGAUAUCAAUAACUUCCAGUGUGGGGAUUCCAUUAGCAAACCCUUGCUCAAUAUCCUGUUUAAAAGAACAAAAUAUCAUACAGGAUACUUGAUGUACAUUAGGAAAUAUUUGUAGACUAGUUACCAACCCAUAUUGGGCUCACGGUCUUGACCAUCAUACCUUGUCAAAAUCCUUAUUGAUUGUUUUGAGGAAGUGAUCAGAUGGAUUCUGGAGACUUGGGCAAGGGAAUCCAUCUAAAGCAAAAAACUACAUAUUUUAGAAAAUAAGAUGGGUUAGUUUGUUUUGCCAACUCUCUCUUUAUAUAUAUAAUGUUAUGCUAGUGAAAAAGAACAUACUUCAUUUGAUGCAGAAACCGAAAUACACAGUUUUGCCUGCAGAUAAAAGGUAAAGAUUGGUGAAUAGUUGAAAGUUGAAACACUUUAGCGCCAGGCUGAUGGAUGGAUGCAAUGAUUAUUCUUCCAAUAUUGUCUUUCUGAUUCAGGCUUGCGAUUCUGCUCAUCACAUAAUAUGAAGCCGCACUGUCAAGGCCACUAGUUGGUUUAUCCAAGAACAAAAGCUUAGGGCGUGUUAAUAUUUUAAUGCAAAUACUAACUCUCAUCUUUUGGCCACCGCUUAGUCCUUUAGCACCCCACCCACCAAUCCGAGUAUCCAUGGCGUCUUGCAAACCCAUUUCUCUGAUCGUCGUUUUGGCUCUCUCAUUCUUUUCUGAAUUGGCCAUAGUAUCCGGUAACUGGAGCUGAGCUGAGUAGUAAACAGCUUCUCUUAUAGUCAGUGUUGUAAUCAGUGCAUCGUCUUGGGUUACAUACGCCUGCGGUGUGAUCCAUGGUAGUAAUUUAAUUUGCAUGCAAUUAAAAAGGGAACUUUAUAAUGAAAUUCAUUAUUAUGGAAUUUCUCCUUACAGAUGUUCCAUAAGCCAAUGCUUGUUUACGCCCAUUGAUAAGAAUAUGUCCUGCUUGGCUUGUGUUGGGACCCUGUCUCCCUGUUAUGGUAUCAAGAAGUGUGGAUUUGCCACAACCCGAAGGACCCAUUAUGGCCAACGGCUCACCAGGGCGAGCAUAACCAGUCAUGCCCUGAAGGAUCGGUCUUCCACCAGCAACCGUGACCGACAAAUUGUCCCAAGUCAAGAGAACACCAUCCUCCAUAAACCUGUUACUUCGGCAUCCAUUUUUACUCCCUGGCGUUGGAUUAAUGUUUUCAACCUCUAAGGUAGCAUGGGUUUAUGAUCUACCCUGCACUGGUUUUGACUUACGAAAGGAAGCUGCCAUAAUUAAGAAAACAAAAAGAAACUGAGAUCAGGAGUUAGGACUGAGGUUAAUGUAUAUGCUAUAUUUAUAAUGGGAUCUUCCACUCCAGGUCUUCACUACACCAAAACAGGCUUUUAGCGGCGUUUCUAGCGGCGUUUGGAUAACAAAUGCCGUUCCAGAUCAAUCAUUAGAGGCGAUUUCUAUAAAGCGCCGCAAAAACCUCGGCCCAACGACGUCGUUUUCUAGGUAUGCGGGGAUUUAACGGUGGUUUUUAUUAAGCGCCGCUAAAGAUCAAGGAUUUAGCGGCGUUUUUGAUAAAUCGCCGUAAAGAAAAAUAAGACAAACGACGCCGUUUUCAGAGCAUUCGGUAGCCUAGCGGCGUUUCUGAGGUAGCGCCGCUAAUGUUCAGUACUUUAGCGGCGUUUGUAUGGAAGCGCCGCAAAUAAACAUAAGCCGAACGACAUCGUUCUCUGAGUAUUCGGGGAUUUAGCGGCGUUUUUGGUAAGCGCCGCCAAUAAACUAAGCCCAACGCGGUUGUUUUACUUAGCAUUUGGGGGAUUUAGCGGCGUUUAUUGACAAGCGCCAUAAAAUAAUUAUUUUUCUAUUUGUUAUUUAAUUGAUUUAUUUAUAUUAAUUAUAAUUAGAAGUUUUCAUUUAAGUUACCAUUAAGCUGUUAAAAUCGAUGCCGGCCAUAUUGCUUUCUCAAAACCCUUAAACCCUAAAAACAUAAUCUUUAAAACCCUAAACCCCUAAAAAUUUCAUGUGGAUAUUGAUGUACAUGUAUAUGCACAUAUAGAUAUAGAUUAAUGUAAAAGGUCAUAUAUGUUUAUAAAGAAUUAUGGAAGCAGUACUUAAUAUUGAUUAAAAAUUUUUGGGAUUUAGGGUUUAAGAGGCUUAAGGGGCUAUAGUUUAAGGGGUUUUAUAGUUUAAGGUUUAAUGUUUAGUGCUAUAUUGUAGGUUAAGGUUUAGGGUUUGUUAUAUUGGGUUUGAGAUAUUUAGUGUUUUAAAGUUUAUUGUUUGGAGUUUAGUUUUUAUAGUCAGAGUCUUAGUGUUUAAUUAUGGGUUUAAGGGUUAGGCUGGUAUUAGGGUUUAAGUAGGGUUAGGGAUUUUGAUAAAAAUAUAAAGAAAAGUUAUUUUUUAGGGUUUAAACAAGCAAUAUACGAUUCUUUUUAAUUACUUUUAAUUCUAACUUAUAAUAUAUAUUUGUGGUUUAAAUUAAGUUUAGGGUGUUAUAGGGUAUAUUAGAGUUUAGGGUUUAAUGUUUAGUGUUUUAGGUUAGUGGUUAAUGUUUAUUAUUUAGAUUUCGGGUUUACGGUUUAAGGUUUAGUUUUUUAUAGUUAGUGUCUUACUGUUUAUGGUUCUAAGGGUUUAAGGUUAAUAAAAAAGGACAGAAAUUAAAUUUAUUUCAGUGUUUAUGCAUUNNNNNNNNNNNNNNNNNNNNNNNNNNNNNNNNNNNNNNNNNNNNNNNNNNNNNNNNNNNNNNNNNNNNNNNNNNNNNNNNNNNNNNNNNNNNNNNNNNNNGCCACAAAUAUGGAUUAGUAUGAAAAACGAUGCCGUUUUACUCCGUUUUCCUGGUGGCGUUUAUAUAAAAACGCCGCAAAUUUGUUUCAGAAAUGGCAAAACGUUGCGUUUUGAUCUGUGUUCUCAGUGGCGUUUUCAACCGCAAGCCGCAAAAGAUUAGAAAUUCGUGGCGUUUUUUAAAACGCGCCGCAAAGUUUGUGCCUGAUACUACAAAACGUUACGUUUUAUAUGUUUUAUUUAGUGGCGUUUUUUGAAAAACGCCGCAAAAUGACUAUACUUUUGGUAUUUUUUGCAAAUUGUAUCAUGUAAAGUGGGAAGUUAUCCUGUAACUGGGAAGGGGAACGGCGCCGUUCUGUUCUUCGCCAUUAGUGGCGCUUUUGAAAAAAGUCGCAAAGUUUUUUUGGGAGUUAAUAAAACUACGCCGUUUUACGUUGCUAUUACUGGCGCUUUACAUAAAACGCCGCAAAAUUGUAUUUAUGUUUAUCGAAAUGUUGUCGUUUUGUCAAUGGUAUUAGUGGCGUUUUUUUGGAAACGCCACAAGCUUGAGUUAAAUGUUGGGGAAACGACUUCGUUUGAUCUUAUAUUUAGUGGCGGUUUACUUAAAACGCCGCAACAUUGUUCUAACAUUUAUAGAAACGCUGCCGUUUUUUAAAUGUUAUUAGUGGCGAUUUUUUUAAAACGCCACGGGUUUGAGGUAAGUGUUGCUGAAGCGACUGCGUUUUGAUUUAUAGUUAGUGGCGCUUGAACUAAAACGCCGCAAAAAUGUUUUAACUUUUAUCUAUACGAGGCCGUUUUGCUGUAUUAUUAGUGGCGUUUAUUCAAAAACGCCACAGGUGUGCGCUAUUUGUUGAUGAAACGGCUGCGUUUCGACUUAUAAUUAGUGGCGCUUAUUUAUAAACGCCGCAAAUGGUUAAUUUUUUAGAUGAAAACGGCGUCGUUUUUUUCCAUCAUUCUGACCAAAAUUGGAACCCGAUAUUUUCAUCUGUUAUCCCCCAAAGCCUCCAUCAGAUUUCCCCAAAAUUCAUUUUCCCCCCAAAUCCCUAAAAUUUCCCCUAAUCCCUAACAGCUCCCCAAACCUGACCACCUGCUACUCUGCCGUCUCCUGUGCUGUAUCACUUUCUCUGUCCGUCUCCGGUGCCGUAACCAUCGGUAAGUUCGUCCUUUUAAGCAAGUAACUGUUUUUUUUUAUUUUUCCCUUUCCUCUCGUCUCGCUUCCAGUGAAGGCUAAAGCGGCUCCUUUCUUUCAGCUACCGACGAUUUGAGGCUUCAACUUCCCAGAAGCUCCAAGGCUGAAACCGAGGAGAAGACGCUAAAAUUACACUUUUCGGACUCCAUCUUCAGUUUUGGCCGAUACCCUUUCCAAGGUAUAAAGCUACUGUUUUGAAUCCACUUAUUUGGUCCGGUGACUGUCAGUGAUUUCUAUCUAUAUUUUGUUUUUAUUAAAUUUUCAUCCAAAGGUACCUAAUGGGUAUUCUUCAAUUUUUGUUUUAAUACUUGUUUGGUUGAGUUGAAGCCAAUCCAUUGUUUAUACAAUAGACAUGAAAAUGGUGAUUGCCAAUCCAUUGUUUGGUUCAGUUUACAUCUGGCAUGUUAAAUUGCAAAAUAAUUUUUUAAUAUCUUUUUCAUAUUUUUUAAUUUAACUUUGCAAAAUAGUUUUUAAACAUUGUUUUAUAGUACUAUAUAAUGUAUUUCAAGUAAUAACAAUAAUAAUCUAAACAAUUAAAUUCAUUUUUUAAUAUAUAAUUUUAAUUUUGGAACUAAUUAAUUUAAUAACAAGUUUAUUUAAAUAUUAAAUUUUAUUAAUAAAUAUCAAUAUCUAAUCCAAUAACCAUUCUGCUCAAUUUCAAUUUAUCAUCUACCUAAAUAUUAUAAUACAAAUUUAGAUAUGUUUUUGUAAUAAAUUUUUUAAAUUUGUAGAUGGUAAAAUAUGAAAAUGUAAGAAUGUUUGCAAUAAUUAAUUUUAGUUAUAAAGCAAUAUCUCUAGCAAUAGGAAUGGUAAAAUAUGAAAAUGUAAGAAUGCUCUAGAUUAUAUGAUACAUACACAGGAGGAUACUGUUAAAGUAGCAAUUCAUCAUGUAGCGUAUAUAAUAUGAUAGUUUAAUUGGCAAACGUGAAAUAGUGCAGUGGAUGAAACCCAAUAUUUUCUAAAGUAUUUGAAUUUUUUUUAAAAUUGGUAAAGUUUUAAGCUGCCAUUUAAUGUUUCCAAGUAAUAUUUGGUUGUGAUAUCGAUAAAAUUUUACAUAUUUGAUAGCUAAAAUGAAAAAAAAUAUUUGCUGCUAACUAAUCAUGGUUCAUCUAUUGUAGGCAGAAUUAAUAUUUGGUGCAACUUAAUACAUAUCUGACCAUUGACAUCUGGUUUGCUGCCUGUGUUUUGGCCGAACUAUUGUUUCGGCAGGUACAUGUUAAAAUUUGACAGUUUUUCCCUUCUUUAUAUGCAUUCUCCCAAAUCAGUUAACAAAAUAAAUAUUUCUCACUGCAGUCUCUCUUUGCUGGUGAGAGUGAAGUAGACAAAGUUGAGUGAAAUAUUAAGGUAUGUUUUAGUUCAUAACUUAAAUCAGUAAUAGUUUUAUCAUGAUGAUUAGGGAAAAAUGUUUCUUUUGGGGCUCUGGUUUUGUAUAUAUGUAAUUGGUUUUGGAUGUGCUUUAGCUUAUGCUUCAUUUUACUUAUUUUACAUUUGCCAUGUACUUUUCUGACUUAUCUUUUCUGUUAUCAUCCAUCAACGAUUGCUAUAUAUGUUGAGCAAAAUAGAAGCAAUUUAAUAAAUUGUACUGGGAAUUGGAUUAAAUUUUUUUAUUUUAAAAUUAUUCGAAAUUUCUUAACUAUAUGUUACAUUAAAUAACAAAUUAAUCCACUUUCUUUUCACAUUUAAGUUUCAUUGAUAUCAAAUAUGCUUAUUUGUUGUAUACAUAUUAUUCCAUAUCGCAACUAAAUUAUUUCGAAAAUGAAGGUUAUUUAUGUCUAAAUAAUAUAAACAUUUGGUUUAAAGCUUGUAUAUAGUUUGCAAAUAUUUAUAUGUUUUCCUCCAAAAUUUUGGUUUUUCCUUUAGUUGCUAUUUUAAUCACGGAAAAUUAGUUUGUUUUGUUUUCUUUUAUUUAAUUUGAAUCAUGGAAAAAAAUUUCAAACUUUUAAUUUAUUUUUAAGUUUAAUUUUAGAUAACUUGCAAAAAUUUAGUUAAAACUAACAUAACAUACAUAAGUUAAUUCAAAGUUAUUUUUUAUUUGUUUUGAAGCUAAAUUUCACAUAACAUACAUAAAUUAAAGUUAAAAUUCAAAUUUAUUAUAUUUUUAAUAUAUUUUUAGAAUUUAAUUUAACUUAUUACUAAUAUAUAUAUUAAAUUUAUUACUUAAAUAUGUUACUUAAAUACAUUACUUACUAAAAUUUAAGUAAGUUUACUUAUAUGUAAAAUUUAAGUAUGUUGCGGGAAUACAUUACUUACUAAAAUUUAAGUAAGUUUACUUAUAUGUAAAAUUUAAGUAUGUUACUUAAAUACAUUACUUACUAAAAUUUAAGUAAGUUUACUUAUAUGUAAAAUUUAAGUAUGUUGCGGGAAUACAUUACUUACUAAAAUUUAAGUAAGUUUACUUAUAUGUAAAAUUUAAGUAUGUUACUUAAAUACAUUACUUACUAAAAUUUAAGUAAGUUUACUUAUAUGUAAAAUUUAAGUAUGUUACUUAAAUACAUUACUUACUAAAAUUUAAGUAAGUUUACUUAUAUGUAAAAUUUAAGUAUGUUACUUAAAUACAUUACUUACUAAAAUUUAAGUAAGUUUACUUAUAUGUAAACUUACAUAAUACAUUACUUUUAACUUACAUAAUACAUAACUUUUAAAAUUUUUUUAUAUAAACUUACAUGAUACAUAACUUAUAUAUUUUUUUAUAUAAACUUACAUAAUACAUUUAACUUACAUAACUUACACAACUUACAUAACCUUCAUAAUACAUUUAACUUACAUAACUUACAUAAUGCAAAACUUACAUAACAACUUACUUACAUAACAUACAUUACUUAAAAUAUUUACAUAAUACAUAACUUAGUACAUAGUUUACAUAAUACAUAACUUAGUACAUAACUUACAUAAAUUUUUUUCUAAAUUGCUUACAAAAAUUAUAUAACUUACAUAACUUACAUUAAUUAAAUAACUUACAUAACUUACAUAACUUACAUAACUUAAAUAACUUACAUAACUUACAUAUCUUACAUAACUUAUAUAAAUUAAAUAACUUAAAUAACUUACAUAAUUUACAUAACUUACAUAACUUACAUAUUACAUAACCUUCCUAACUUACAUUAUUGUUUAAUACAUAACUUAGUACAUAACUUACAUAACUCAUUUAUAGUUAUAACUGGUGUUUUGACUAACCCGUGCAAAUUAUUGUCAACGUCAGACUUCAAGAAUUAAGAAAUGGACCGGUCUUGGAUGAAUUUGUCAAGGGUUAGCAACGAUUAUCGAAAUGGAGUACAAUAUUUUCUAAAUUUUGCAUUUCAAUAUGCAAGUCAGGAGAACAUGAUUCUUUGCCCAUGUAAGAAGUGUGUCAACUUAAACUGGCAUUGUCGUGAGGUUGUAUACGAGCAUCUAAUUGUUGAUGGGUUUGUUCGGGGUUAUAAACAAUGGCUUUUUCAUGAAGAAUGCCCGCCUAGUACUUCCUUUUCAACGAUGGAUGUAUCUUACUCUGGUCCUGCUUACCAUCAGUCUAAUAGAGGGGAUGACAUGGAAGGUAUGUUGCGGGAUGCAUUUAAUAUGCACAAUCAUGGUGUCCGGUCCUUCCCAGCGGACUUUGUGGCUUUUGAUGAUUGUAAUAUUGGGAGAAAUGCUUUUACCGAAUCGGGAAGUAGUGUACCUCAUGAAGAGCCGAAUGAAGAAGCGGCGAAGUUCUACGCGCUAUUUAAUGACAUGAACGAAGAACUGUAUGAGGGAUCAAAAUUUUCAAAAAUGUCUUUCUCUGUUCAUCUUUUUCAGUUAAAAUGUUUGGGAGGGUGGACCGGAAACUCGUUGACAAUGCUGUUAGAGUUUUUAAGAGAAAUGUUUCCGUUUGCAAAAAUCCCUCAAUCAUGCAAAGAUAUGAAGAAAAUGAUAAAAGAUUUAGGCCUUGGGUACAACAAAAUCCAUAGUUGCCCAAAUGACUGUAUGUUGUAUUGGGGCGAUUGAAAUGACCAACAGUGCUGUCAUGUAUGCGGCCAAUCCUGUUGGAUUAGUAGAAACACAGAAGAUGGGAAGGCCGACGAAAAUGGUACACAGUCGGGAAAAAAGCCAGUUAAGAUUUUACGGUAUUUUCCCCUGAUACCAAGGCUUCAAAGGCUAUUCAUGUCGUCCAAGACAGUGGAGUCAAUGACGUGGCACCAUGAUGGACGAACCGAUGAUGGAUUACUAAGGCAUCCGGCAGAUUCUUUAGCUUGGAAAUCAUUUGACAAUAAAUUUCCAGGCUUUGCAAGCGAUCCUAGGAGUGUGAGGCUUGGGCUAGCAUCUGAUGGAUUUAAUCCUUUCAAGAUCAUGAGCACUGCGUACAGUACUUGGCCAGUAGUGCUUGUUCCUUAUAAUCUGCCUCCGUGGAUUUGCAUGAAGCAAUCUUCCCUUAUCUUAUCUAUGAUUAUCCCUGGUAAGAAAGGGCCCGGGAAUGAUAUCGACAUUUAUUUACAGCCACUUAUUGAAGAGUUAAAACAAUUAUGGGCUGGUGUCGAGACAUACGAUGUGGUGAGAAAGGAGAACUUUAAUUUACGUGCGGCUUUGAUGUGGACCAUUAAUGACUUUCUCGCUUAUGCCAAUUUAUCCGGUUGGAGUACCAAGGGUCGUUAUAUGUGUCCUUGUUGUGCUGCACAAACAUGUUCGCAAUGGUUGUACAAUGGGAAGAAGUUUUCUUACAUGGGGCAUCGUCGGUGGUUACCGGAAAAUCAUAGAUUUAGAUUUCAGAGUUCUGUAUUUGACGGCACUGAAGAGUUCAGAGAAGCUCCUUCCCAGACCAGUGGCUCUGAAAUCUUGUUCAUGUUAGAAGAUAUGAAUUUCAUUUAUGGGAAGAUGAACCAACCGCCAAACACGCAGAGAAACAGAAGAUCAAAUGAUGAAAGGGAUGAAAGUUUCGACGAAGAGGACGAUCCUAAUGAGGCGGACUUGUGGAAAAAAAAGUAUUUUUUUGAGUUGUCUUAUUGGGAGCAUCACCUUUUACGACACAAUCUUGAUGUUAUGCACAUUGAGAAAAAUGUCUGCGAGAACAUUGUGGGUACAAUUUUGAACGUCGACGAAAAAUCAAAAGACAAUCUUCAGAGUCGACUUGAUUUAGUCCAAAUGGGAAUUCGGCCUGAUCUUCAUCCCAAUCCACUUCUGAAUGGGAAAUAUCGGUUGCCGCCUUCUAUUUUCUCAAUGUCCAAGACGGAGAAAGAACUGUUUUGCAUGGUGUUGAAGGAUAUAAAGGUCCCAGAUGCGUAUGCAUCAAAUAUAUCUCGAUGUGUUAGUGUUAAAGAUCGAAUAUUAUAUUCGCUAAAAUCACAUGACUAUCACAUCUUGAUGCAAGAUUUAAUGCCAGUUGCUCUACGAUGUUGUAUGUUCAAGAAGGUGACGUCUUGUAUCAUUGAACUAUCCAACAUAAUGAAAGUCAUUUGUGGCAAAGUUUUGGAUGUUCAAGAACUUCAGAAGGUACAGGAUCGAGCUGCUUUGACUUUAUGCAACAUGGAGAAAAUCUUCCCACCUUCCUUCUUCACCAUUAUGGUUCACUUGAUAAUUCAUCUCCCGCACAAAGCAAUUCUUGGCGGACCCGUUUUCUAUCGAUGGAUGUAUCCCAUAGAAAGGUGUUAAAGAAGUAUUUUUAAAAUUUUCCUUCAUUCACCUCUAUGCCUUUAGUUACAACUUUUGAUAAUGUUGUAUAUUGUGUUUAGGUUCCUAUCCAAAUUAAAGUCUUACUGCCACAACAAGCGAUAUCCAGAAGGAUCGAUUGCUGAAGGCUACUUGGCAGAGGAAUGUAUGACCUUCUGCUCAAGAUAUUUGGAAGAUGUCGAAACAAGGUUGAACAGACCAAAUAGGAAUGCUGGACUCACGGACUAUAACUUNNNNNNNNNNNNNNNNNNNNNNNNNNNNNNNNNNNNNNNNNNNNNNNNNNNNNNNNNNNNNNNNNNNNNNNNNNNNNNNNNNNNNNNNNNNNNNNNNNNNNNNNNNNNNNNNNNNNNNNNNNNNNNNNNNNNNNNNNNNNNNNNNNNNNNNNNNNNNNNNNNNNNNNNNNNNNNNNNNNNNNNNNNNNNNNNNNNNNNNNCAUUUUUUAACAUAGUGAGUACAAACAAAUAUUGAGAUCUCGUUCGCGCUCCCGAAGAACACAACAUCGAGAUAUCAAUAAGUUGUUUACAGAAUCUUUUUAUGAAUGGUUAAGCCAAACGGUAUGCAGUUGGAGCUUCUGCUUACAAAUUAUAAUGCUUUCUCAUAACAUUUUUAAUUACUCAGUUUACUUUCCAUUCAAUAGGUUUGGAGUGGAAAGAGCGUAAACGACGAAGUUAAAUGGCUCUCCCAAGGUCCAAAUCGAGUGGUUAAAAGAUAUAGUGCUUUCCUUAUCAACGAAUUCAGAUUUCAUACAAAAUAUCGCGAGAGGUUGAGGAGAACGCAAAAUUGUGGAAUAGUUGUUAAUUCUGCAAUUACAAGUUAUGCUAGUGCUAGGGACAAUAAUCCUGUCGAGGGAAAUGUGGAAUAUUUCGGACAUCUUACUGACAUAAUUGAGUUGGAUUACUACGGCAAAUAGAAAGUUGUCUUAUUUCGAGGUGAUUGGGCCGAUGUUAAUACAGCUCGUGGAAUCAAGCAAGAUUAAUUUGGUUUUACAAUGGUGAACUUUGACCGAUUGAUUCACACAGCACAACAACUGAUAGAUGAGCCGUAUGUAUUCUCAAGUCAAGUCAAACAAGUUUUUUACUCAAAAGAUCCAACUGAUGAGGGUUGGUACGUUGUACUCCGUAACAUCCCUAGAGACUUGUUUGACAUGGGCAGUGCAAGUAGAGAUAACAUCGACGAUAGAUCAGAAACUUUGCCAUUUCUAGAACAAAACUUAAAUGAUAAUAUCCCUAGUACUAGUGCACAAUUUCAAUGGGUUCGUCAGGAUACGGAUGAAGAUAUUUACGAAUAAUGAUGUAGUAAGAUUUUACGAUUGUUUAAUUAUAUGUAACUUACAUUAGUAUUAAAUUUUGGUCUUAUUAUAUAUUUCAACUAUUUUAUAUGUGCUGUUAUUGUUGUAAUUAGUUAUUAAGUUUAAUUACAUUUUAUGUGUAUUGCAGAUAAAAUGCCUAGAAGAAAAAUUAUAAGGGAAAGCAUUGUUCAAAAUGAUCCAAACUCGACAGAAACAAAUAGUACUGAACAACAGACAGCAAUUGGAUCUUCGAAUGUUCCGAUUACACCUGAGGAUCCUACGGAAGUUCAAAGUAACUUACAUUAAUUACAUGCGUGCUGACUUAUAAUUGAUUUAUUUUUCAAAUUCUUAUAUUAUAAUAUACCAUUUGUAGCUGAAAAUGGUGGGACGCGCAGAGGUCGAGGACCCUAUAGGUAGGCGAGAGUUAUACNNNNNNNNNNNNNNNNNNNNNNNNNNNNNNNNNNNNNNNNNNNNNNNNNNNNNNNNNNNNNNNNNNNNNNNNNNNNNNNNNNNNNNNNNNNNNNNNNNNNGGAUCAGAAGCUCGACUUUUAGCAGGAUACAUGGGCAUUUUAGCACGAAAUGCGAAUAUGUUACCUAUCAACUACGAGUCAUGGCGUCAAAUGCUCGAUAGCAACAAAAACCAAGCCCUCGAUAAUAUUAGGGUAACAAAAUGUUAAUGUCAUCUGUAAUGCUUGGGAAAUAGUUUCAUUUAUAUUUACUUUAUUAACUCGUGUUUUUUGUAGGCGAGGUUUGCUUUAGAGGUCUCGGAUGCUUAUGUAAAGAAGGCAUUGGGAAAAAGAUGGAGAGACAAUAAAAUUACUUUGAAGAAAAAUUAUUAUAAGACAAAAACAACCCUCGAUGAGAAAUUGCAAAAUGUCCCGCCGGGUAUGUUGAGGUACCAAUGGGAAGAUGCGGUUAGAUUUUGGCAUUCUCAAAAAGGCGAGGUACGANNNNNNNNNNNNNNNNNNNNNNNNNNNNNNNNNNNNNNNNNNNNNNNNNNNNNNNNNNNNNNNNNNNNNNNNNNNNNNNNNNNNNNNNNNNNNNNNNNNNAUUUUUAUAACGUAGGAUCGUGAACGAGUUGGAAAAAGUAGCCGGCAGCAACAAAAAUUCACUCACACAGCCGGGUCGAGAAGUUUUGCAUGUGUAGCUGAGGCGGAGGUAUUUUUAAUUUUUUAAUAUUCUCAAAUAUGUAUAACUUUCUAUUAAAUAAUAUUUUUACUACUAUAUUGUAGGAACGGUCGUCCGGUCAAAAAGUUGGACGCCUUCAACUUUUUGAAAUUACACAUAAGAAGAAAGAUGGAUCUGUUAUGACUCCUGAAGCUGGUGAAAUUAUGGUACGUUUACUUAAUACGAUUUGACUUAUUUUAGUUAUUUAUAGUGUUUAUUUUCUAAUGUUUUAAUUCAUUGCUUGUAAUGCGACUAUUGUUAUAUUGCAUUUGUUUUUUUUAAUAUAUAUUGCGUUCCUAACUAUGUGAUUUAUUUAUUAGGAAAACUAAAGGAAAAAAAGACGGAGUACGAAGCGAUUGCUUCUAGUGAUAGUUCUGUUCAUCUUGAAGACAUUGAUAACCGGAUUAUUGCUGAAGUUUUGGGUCCUGAAAAGUAUGAUCGGGUUCGAUUUCAAGGAUCUUUUAUCAGCCCAACCCAAUAUUUUGGAUCCAGCUCGCACCAAUACAUGGCUUCGGGGAGUCAAUCUCAAGCUGAAGUUCAGAGGUUAAAAGACCAGAUAGUUCAGAUGCAAGCGACCACAUUUGAGGUUCAAAGGAAAUAUGAAGAACUUCAGCAACAACUUAAAGCAGAUGCGGCAGCGAGGGAAGCAGAUGCUACAGCGAGAGAAGCAGAGGCCACAGUGAGAGAAGCAACAAGAGAAGCAGCGAGAGAAGCAGCGAUAGAAGCAGAUGUUCAAAAGAAAUAUGAAGAACUACAGCUACGACUUCAAAAAGAUGCGGCAUCGAGAGAAGCAGAGCAGAGCAAAAAGUACGACGAACUUCAACAGCAACCUCAGACUAUGAUGAAGAUGUUUCAGCAGUCGCAACUUCCGCCGUCAUACUGUAUAUUGCAUAAAUAUUUUUAUUAUUUUAACUUUAAACUUUUUUGUAAAGAAAAGUAUGAAUUCACUUUUAUUUAUAUCAAUUAAUAUUAUUUUAGUCAUUAUAUUAUAUAAAUUUAUUGUUUUUGGUUAGUUUAGAUCUGGUUGCUUUUGAUUUGUUGUUGCAGGAGGGCUGAAAAAAACAGAAAAUUUUAUUUUAAAAAAAUCCUAAAAUUAGUGGCUUUUUUAAAAAAGCGCCGCUAAAAGUCAUAUCAAAUAGUGGCGUUUGUGAAAUAAGCGCCUCUAAAUAACACUAUUAUUCGCGGCGUUUUUGAACAAGCGCCGCUAUAGAACAUUACUUUUAGCGGCGUUUUCUUCCAAAGCGCCGCUAAAGAACAUGAUCUUUAGCGACGUUUUUUCAUAAGCGCCGCUAAAGAACAUGAUCUUUAGCGGCGUUUAUUAUCUUAGCGCCGCUAAAGAACAUGAUCUUUAGCGGCGUUUUUUCUGUAAGCGCCGCAAAAAGUUAGCGACGUUGUCAUUAGCGGCAUUUUUUUGUGGCGCUUCUUCAAGUGCCGCAAAUUGCUUUAGUGGCGUUAAAAAGCACCGCUAAAGGCCUAAAAAAACGCCGCUAAAAACCUGUUCUGGUGUAGUGCUUACAUGUGCCUAGAGGUGAUAAUGGGCCGAGCCGGGUUCAGGUCGGGCCUAGACAAAAUUUUAGGCCCGUUUUCUGGUUCUGGGCCGGGCCAGUCUAAAAUAUGAGUCUAAAAAUUUAUCCGAGCCCGACCCGACCCAUAUUUGAUUAAAAAUAAAAAAGAUAUAUAUUUAAUAUAUAAUUCGGAUUAAAAGUAUAAAAAAUAUAUAUUUAAUAAAAAAUAUAUUUGAUUAAAAAUAUAAAUAUAUACAUGUUUAAUAUAUAAUUUGAGCUGGGGGCCCGGGCAAAAAAAGUCUUAUCUUAGGCCCGGCCCAUUUUUUAAACGGGCCUCAAUUUUUUACCCAAACUCAUAUUUCAGGCCUAUAUUUUUACCCAAAUCCUUCCAUUUUUCGGGCGAACCAUCGGGCCGGGCCGGGUAACCCAACCCAUGAUCACCUCUACAUGUGCCUAGUCGUGUAAGGUUUUUUUUCUCGAGUCGUGUAAGCUUUUGGUAUAUAUCAUAUUUUAUAUAAAUGACUAAUUUAAUAUUUUUAAUUUUUCUUUAAAAAAAAGUUUACCUCUUGACUUUACUUAUAUAGGGAACUGCUUAAAGAUUUUAGCUAAAUUAGCGCUAAACUAGCCUCCAAAAAUACUUUUGAAAAAUAUUGUUAAAUUAGCGCUACUAGUUAGCCUUCAAUCACCGUUGAUCUACGAUUCAAACAAUAUGCUAUGAAUUUGAAACCUAAAAUCAUACAAAGCUAUGAUCAUUAACAUAUUUUAUAACAUAAUUACAUUGAUCCCUUUUCGUAGCCGAGGCCAUUUACAAGCCCUUGAGCAAGCAUUUCUACUUUACAAUAUAGCUUACAUGAUUAAUAUUGAUACACACGAACUACUUGCAUUGUCUCUUAUCCACACACAUAGGCGUGGCUGAUGAAUUCAUCGUGACCUGUAGCGGUGAGCAAAACUUGAUUCGAUUAAAAAAUUAAUUUUUUUCGAUUUUCGAGUUAAUCAAAUCGAUUUGUUCGAAUUAUUUGAGCUAAUAUAAGUAAUUCCAGUUUCAAGUUCAAAUUGAGUUGAAUUUUACAAUUCAAAUAACAAAUUGGUUUAAAAACCUUUUUAGUCCUUGUCAAGUUUGAAAAUGAGCAAAUUGAGCUCUCUUAACAAAAAUUUCAAAAAAAUUUCAAAAAUCAAAAUAAUUUUUAAAAUCUAAAAUAUUUAUAAAAAAUUCAAAAUUUUUAUUUUUAAAUAAAUUAUAAAAAUUUCAAAAAAACUCUAAAAAUAUAUAAAAGAAUUUGAAAAAUUAAAAAAUUUCUAGAAUAAUAAUUUUGGGACAAAAAUAAGUUAAUUAAUGAUUCAAGUUUAUCAUACUAAAUUAUUUUUUUAUUAUUUUCCUUUGAAAAAAAUUUCAAAUAUUUUUCAAAUAUAUGUGCUAUAACAUGAAAUUAGUUAUAUUGUAAUAAGAUUUUGAUUUGCAUAUUUAAUUUUUUUAAUUUAACUCGAAUAAUUUCACUCAAUUCGACUUGAUUCGAAUUUUACUUCAUUCAACUCGAUUUAAAAAUUUUCAAAUUGAGUUAGGAUGAUAAAAUAGGACUCGUCAAAUCGAUUAACUCGAAAUUAUUCACUUGAUUCAAUUGAAUGCUUGAUGCCCACGAAACCAACUAAAAAUUCGACUAAGGCAAGUGUACAUAUCAAUUAAUAGUAUAACUAUGGUGACCAAAUGUAUCGUUCCCAGAAAAAAGCUAAAAGUACUAGUAAUUACAUUCUUUUUAUUAUUUAAUUGAUAAAUUAGAGUGAUUAAUUAAAGAAAAAAGUAACUAAACUAAUUAAUUACGAACGCGACAACGAACAAAUCAGAAAAAUAACCGAUUAACAACCAAUAAUCAAAACAAUAUUAAGGAAAGAGUUCACCUAGACUUCAUUUGUCACUAUCAAUCUAAAUUAUGCAAUUUAUUUACUUAAUAUCUUGAUCCAUAGAAAUUUCUAAAUUAUGCUAAUAUAUCUUUCAAGAGCAACUGACUUUAGGUUGAUUAAUUAAAUUUUUUAAAAAAUUAAAACCCCUAUUAUCGCCUUAACUCAAUUUAUGGAUUUCCCUAUUAGGUUUGACUCUAAUCCGGUAGAUUUAUAUUGUCCUAUUUUUAGAAUUGCAUGCAACUUCACUCAAUACGCUAAAUUUACUAUUAAACAUGGUCUAUUCCUCCACCGAUUUAAGCACAUAAAAAAUGAAUCAAUAAUCUAAAAAUAUUAAACCAAGAAUUAAACACGCAUAAUUGAGAACAAGAUCUAAGUUUUUUAUUGCGUAAAAUAAAAAUUAAAAGACAAAAUUCACCACUGGGUUCAUCUCCCUUAGGUAUUUAGAAAAUUAGAGACAAUAUAUCCGGAAGAAAAAAAAACUCAUUACAAUCUCCUUAGAAAUCAAUUGAAUGUUUUAGUCUUUAUAGAAAUCUGCUUUAAUGGUGUUUUUUGAGUUGUUUUCUUAAAUAUCCUAUGAUGACUUUCUUCUAUCUUCUUAUAUUUUUGUCAUAUAUAUAUAUAUCUUAAAAUGCUUAAAAAACUUAAAAAUCGCGUUUUUUUCGCUAAAUUCGUGCAAUUGACACGGCCUGCCACAUGGCUGUGUGGCAGGCCAUGUGGAAAGGGUCAGCCCGUGUGACUCUUGUACCUUACUCCAAUUUUUCGAUUUUAGCUCAUUUUGCUCCUAAAUGUUCUCUUAAGUAUAAAAACAUAAAUUUAAAUGAUUGAAAGUAUAAAAUUUAUGGUUAAGAUCGAAUAAUCACAAAAAAAAAUACAUUAAAAUUAAGAUUAAAACAUGUUACUUUUAAUAUUUAUCGACGCUCACCCCUACUGACCUGGGCUUUGUCCUUACAAGUUGCCGACAUGAAUUUUCCGAUCACCGCUUUUUCCUUCUCGGUUGUCUUGAUGAUGAUCAAGAACAAUACCCGAUAAAGCACAAUCAUUGCAAACAAGAUAGCAAGGUCAACCCAUUUAGAGUAUGCCAUUUCAAUACGCCAAGUUUGCUUCAAAAUUUCUUCACCAGUAACGGCUGCUGAGCUUCCAUUUCCAGCUUGAACAUUGGGAAAAGUCAAGCCUACAAACUCGUUCUUAAACAGUCCCUGAUAUGCAUACUUGUGGAAAGCGAUGUAGUACAAGGGAAAUUUAAACACUGGCUUGGGAAGAUCAGAGGGUAAUCGGAAGAAACCGCCAACCAAGAUCAUUAGCCCUUGAAUUCCAGCACCCACUAUGAUUCCCAUCAGGAAAUUGGGUACCACACUAGCUACAAUCAUCAUUAAGCUCUCUACCAACAUCAUGCAAGCGAAUAAUAUGAUGACGAAGAACAAGAAAUGUUGAUAUCCAUGGUGAAGUCCUGGAAGGAAAUAUGUAAUUGAGCCUGGAAUGAGUGCUACCAUUGCCAAGAAUGGCAGAGAAGAUAACGUAUUUCCGAUGACAAAGGGAGUGACACCGUAGUGCCCAUUUAGUCUUUCACGUUCGAAUACCUUCAUUUCCUCUACAAAAGAAGGGAAUCCACCAAUGGCCAUGAAGGUUAGAAAUGAUGCCACAAACAUCAACAGUGAACCUCUAGCCUGAAAAAAAAAAAAAACCCUUAUAUGAUCACUUGCAGUGUUGAAAUCGAUCAAUCAAUAUUAUGUAUUCAUUUACGAACCUGGAUUGAUCCAUUGUCCAUCCCGACGUGGCUAAACACAGAGCCAAGUACAAUAGAAAGUGAAAUGUAGAUACCUAGACGCAACCAAUAGUAGCCAAGGUCACGAGACAUGUUAAUGAAAGAUCUGCUGGUAAGGACAUGGCAUUGGGUGAAGAACCCAGACCGCCUUUUACUUUUCUGCAAUGCUCCACCACCCUGACAGGCACCAUAAUCACGUAUCCAAUAUAUAUGUUCAACCCUUUAAAUUAUCCAUUUUAGAUCUACUCGGAGAGGGAAAAAAAUAAUGAGCUGCUAUCAACUAACCUGUUUACAAAUCUGAGCAAUCUCUUUCUGAACCAUUUGGUAUAUAUCUGAAGACUUAUAUGACUUUACUAGGAUAUCAAUAACUUCCUCUGUGGGGAUUCCAUUAGCAAACCCUAGCUCAAUAUCCUGUUUAAAAUUGCAAAAACGUCAGACUGGAUACUUUAUUUACGUUGGGAAAUAUUUGUAAACUAGUUUCUGAAGAGGGAGAAUAUAUACCUUGCCAAAAUCCUUGUUAAUGGUUUUGAGGAAGUGAUCAGAUGGGUUCUGGAAACUCGGGCAAGGGAAUCCAUUUAAAGCAAAAAACUACAUAUUAUUUAGAAAAAUAGGAGGGAUUAGAUGUUUUUCCAUGUAUAUUAUAUUAUAUUAUGCUAGUGAAAAAGAUCAUACUUCGUUUGCUGCAGAAACAGGACCAAAGUACACAGUUUUGCCUGCAGAUAAAAGGUAGAGAUUGGUGAAUAGUUGAAAUACUUCAGCGCUAGGCUGAUGGAUGGAUGCAAUGAUUGUUCUUCCAAUGUUAUCUUUCUGAUUCAGGCUUGCGAUUCUGCUCAUCACAUAAUAUGAAGCAGCACUGUCAAGCCCACUAGUGGGUUCAUCCAAGAACAAAAGCUUAGGGCGUGUCAAUAUUUCAAUGCAAAUGCUAACUCUCCUCUUUUGGCCACCGCUUAAUCCCUUAGCACCCCACCCACCAAUCCGAGUAUCCAUGGCGUCUUGCAAACCCAUUUCUCUGAUCGUCAUUUCGGCUCUCUCCUUCUUCUCAGAUUUGGUCAUUGUAUCUGGUAACUGAAGCUGAGCAGAGUAGUAAACAGCUUCUCUUACAGUCAGUGUUGUAAUCAGUGCAUCGUCUUGGGUGACAUAUGCCUGCACGGCAGUUAUUAAUUUUAUUUGCAUGAAAAAAGUGAUAACUUUUUAAUGAAAUUCCUUACAGAUGUUCCAUAAGCCAAGGCUUGUUUACGUCCGUUGAUAAGAAUAUCUCCUUCUUGCCUUGUUUUGGGACCCUGUCUUCCUGCUAAGGUAUCAAGAAGUGUGGACUUGCCACAACCCGAAGGACCCAUUACGGCCAACAGCUCACCAGGGUGGGCGUAGCCAGCCAGGCCCUGAAGGAUCGGUCUUCCACCAGCAACCGUGACCCACAAAUCGUCCCAAGUCAAGAACACUCCAUCCUCCAUGAAGAUGUUACUUCGGCUACCUGUGUUACUCCCUGGCAUUGGAUUAAGGUUUUCAGCCAUGCAGGUUUCUGGUCCACCCUGCAUUGCUGGUUCUAAUUUACGAAAAGAAGUUGCCGUAGUUAAUGUAACUAAGAUAAAAAUGUUAUGGGGCAAACGAGAAAUAUAUAUACUGUAUUUAUAAUGGGAUCUUAGUGUGGAACUGUGGAUUUACAUAUAUAUAUAUAUAUAUUCAAUGUUAAAUUACUUUCUUCGACCACAAAUACAAUAUAUUUGGAGGAGCAUAUGAAACACGAGAUCUUUUUAGUAUGAAAACAAAAAUCAGUUCAUGUCAAACAGUUAAACUAAAUAGACUGAUGGUGAUUAUUGAUUAACCCAUCACAUUAUCCAUGGUGGGUUGUUGACGAGUAUAUAUUAAAGAAAAAAAAGCAAUAUCUACUGUUAGAACCAAAGAAAAAAAAAACAAGCGUCUCCUGCUUCUUAUGGCGAUUUUUCUCAUUGAGAGGAACGGCCGAGCUGGCUGAGAGUAACGACAAAGGAGGCGGUUUCACUGUUAGUGUGUAAUUAUUAUAUCCAGAAACUUCAUCAGGUAGUCAAUACAGGCUGCGGAAAAUAAUAUUGUUAUUCAAUUUUGAAGGUUUGAUGUUGUAGUGGAAGACAUUUAGUGCAUUUAAACGUAUUAUUUUUUUAUUUAAGAGUUAAUAAAAAAUUAUGAGUAGUUUAUAUUAUAUAAAAAAAUAUAAAUAUGAAUAUAUAAUGAGAUUAAUGUUAAUUUUUUUAAGUAUUACAUAUAUAUAUAUUUCUAUAUUUUUUUAACUAGGUUUGUAUUAUAUUUAUAUCUAUUCUAUUGUGCAAGUGUGAUUGAAUUAGUAUCGCAAGUCUGUUAAAAUUAACUUAUUUUAAAAAAUUACUAAAAUAAUUCUUUAUAUAUUUUAAAUAAAUUAUAUGAUUACUAGAGUACUUUUGUAUUUUUCUUAUUUUAAAAAACAAUAAAAAAAGUUGCAAAUAUUGAGCAUUAAACUUACAUCAACAUUUAUAUGAUCUUUUUUUAUCACUUAAACCAAAGUGAUAUUUUAAUAUUUUUAAACAUUUUAAUUUUAUUACAUAAAUUGUUUCACCUAUAUAUACACAUAUUAUUAUUUAAGUGUGUGAUUCAAUUGGUGGAAUGAGUCAACUUAACAUCAACUUAGUUAAGGAAAUUACUAAAAUAACGUUAUCUAUCAUACUAUUAUUUAGGAAAACUAUAUAAAUAGUCGCCCAACUAUGCCUACGUUCCUGUUUUGGUCACCCGACUUUAAAAUUUUUCAAUUUAGGCACUAAUACUUGAAUUUGUUCUUGUUUUGGUCACCUGCCAUUAAAUUGAUAACGGAAAGCCAUUUUUUAAUUGGUAUAAUAAAACAAUUAGUCCUCAAUACUUAUAUAUUUUAUCAAUUUGAUCCUAAUUCUAAAAUAAUUCAAUAAAUUUAACCCUUCACAUUUACAAAUUCUAUCAAUUUGAUCCUUAAAAUUCUUAACCAAAGUUUUCAGCUUUUAAAACAAAGGCAUUCCUCAACUAUUAAUUGUUUUAUUUAUGGUUGAAAUUAUCCAAUUUGAUAAAUAACCCUUUUUUGUUUAUAUUUUUAAGAAGUUGGUGUUAGAAAUUAACUAAACACCAUUAAAAUAAUAGAAAAUAAUAUAAUAUAUAAUACAAAUAUAUAUAAUUUACUAUUCCACAGUGCAUCCCUCAACUACCUUGAGGCUUUCCUUUAUAUCACCCAUGGAAUCCUCAAGUUUGACAACCCUACCUUCCAAAGUCGACAACAUAUCAAUUGAUCUUCCUGCAUUCCUGAUCCUCUCACGGGUCUCUAGUGGGACAUUCCGAUCCUUUGCUUCUUUCUCCAUCUCAACUUGACACCUUACGAACCUUGACUCAUGAUAGUAACUGUACGGCCAUAGGCGAUAACUUUGCUUCAAAUCCAUCAAAGCCAGCCAAAUUCUAAAAAAAAUUCUCAAAAAAAAAAUUAUUACAAAUGAGGGGGAACACUUAUAUUUAUAGUUGAGCUCUCUCAAAUCCAACGAUACAUUUUAAAUUAUAUCAACAUCUGAUAUUAAAAUCUAUUUAUAAGAUGAGAGUCCUAAGAUAUUUAAACACUCCAUAAUCUUAUCCUUUAGGAUUACAAAACAAUUACCUUGGUAACUCUAAAUUAUUGGAGUGUUUCAUCUGGCCACCAAAUUUCAAGUAGAUGAGUUUUCUUUGAUGUUCCAAUCAAACCAGUCCAAGUGGGUUAAAUGAGUCCAAUUUAAUCAAUUGACUUUAUGGCGCAGUUUCAUGUUCUAUAGUCUCAAACUUUAAUUCGCGGCCCAUGACAAAUACAUGUUUGAUAAAUAUUCUAGUUAUUAUAAUUAUUUGACUGAGUUAAGUGUGAUGAGUUAAAUGACACUACCUCAACUAACUCAAAUAUAACAAAAACUAAUGAAAUUUAAAAAUAGGACAAAGGAAAAUUAUUUAACUAAACCAUUUUAUGUGUAUUUGAUAGGAAAAAUUAUAUUUCAUGGUACGUGAUAACACAAGAUUAUCAGUUAGAUGUACGUUCUAAAAUUUGAAUUGAAUUUAACAUGUUAAACACUUACAAUUAAUAAUACUAGAGGUGCAUGGUAUAUGUUAAUUUAAUAAAAUCAAAUAUUAAUAUGAUUAAUCUUUAAAAUGUCAUAAGUUUUGUUGAUUGAAUUUUAGUUGAAUUAGUAUGUGUAUUAUUGUCAAUGCAGGAAUAUGGGGAUUCGAGUGCGUUGAAGUACAUUAUCUUCUUAUUUACGAGUUGAUGAAAUACUAUGAAUUAUAAACAUUGUGUUAAAUAAAAUAAAUAUAAUUAAAAGAAAUGCCAUUAAAUUUUGGAACUCGUAUAAUUCUUUGAAUACCCUAGGAAUUUGGAAAUGACCCUUUUUCUUUUCUGAAAGCGAAAUUCGAAAAUGACUUUUUUUUCCCUUAAUUCACGGAAAUGACCAAAUGAGUGAUAAAAGGGGAAUGAAUCAAAAGUUCUUCAAUUCACGGAAAAGACCAAAUGAGUGAUAAAAGGGGAAUGAAUCAAAAGUUCUUCAAUUCACGAAAAUCAUGACCAAAUGAGUGAUAAAAGGGGAAUGAAUCAAAAGUUCUUCGCUGAUAAUAUAUAUAUAUAUUUGGUAAAACAAAAACUGAAAGUACUCAAAUUGUUCCUACAACAUCAAAGGCAUCAUUUGUUUUGUCUCUAUAAAUGAGUUCUUAUAAAGAGUGUCGAGAUGCUAAGAAUUGUGACACUAGGCAUGGAGAUUGUACAUUCAUAAUUUAUGGUUGGUUGGGUUCAUUAGGCCAUUGGCCAUUGAAACUCAAGGGUAAAAACGAGCGUAGACACUUCAGGAAUUAUUGGAAAAAUUAUAAUUUUCUAGAAAAUUUGAGGUAUAUUCUCGAUUGGUAAAGGUGGAGAGUUCAAUCAUAAAAUUAUAGCUUUGUCUUCUUCUCCAUGAGACCUUUACAACGCUAUAUUGUAACACCCCUAACCCGUAUCCGUCGUUGGAAAGGGGUUACGAGGCAUUGCAGAACAUAACACGGUUCAAUACAAAUUUGGCUCAAUAACGGGCACAAGGUGAACUUUCUUCAGCGAUUAAAAUAAAAUAAAAAUUUAGAGAAAGUUUCAAACUUAACCUGAACAACAAUAUCAAUUAUAAACAAUCAUGUUAUGCUCUCAUAUUCCAUAUUCAAUUUAAUCAUGUAGCAAGCCAAAAAUUACCAAUUGAGAAAGAAACAUAUCAAUUUAACCAAAACUAACCAACGUUAAUAUCUUAGCAUCCGGAUAACUAUAAAGAAAAAAAAUAUUAUGUCAUUCAAAACAACAAUUACAUUGAACCAAUUCCGAUAGUAAUAAAACAUAUAAUUAAGGUAUUUUAAUUUCUAAGGUCAAUUUGACAAGUCCAUCUUCAACUUGUUAGAUCAGUCCGAAAUUUACAAUAGCAAAAAUCAUGAAAUUCAACUUACAAUUUAUCUUUGAUUUGUCUAAAUUUAUUGGGCAGUAAAGUAACAACAUUAACAUACAGUAUUUAAUCAAUAAUAGCAUGAAACGUAAUCAAUAUGUACAGAUUUGUACAGCAUGAACACAUUAACAAUAUAGCAUAGAUAAGGCACUUAAACAACAUAAAUGACAGCACAUAUUAAUUUCCAAUUACAUCCUUCAACAACUUUGUUGAAACCAUAUUUUUUGAUGAAAAACGGGGUCGACUUGGGUUUUGAAAAAUGAAACGGGAGUCGCCACCAAUCCUUUUUUAUGAGGUGUGAUUGGAUCACCUCGAAAAAUGGUUGUUUUUAAUAAACGGUUUGAUUUUAUUAAAACAACAAGUUUGGUCCACGAAAUCUAGAAAACGAGUUCGGGAGUCGGUUACGUACGAGGAAGGAUUAGCACCCUCGAUACGCCCAAAAUUGGUACCUUAGUUGAUUACUUAAUGUCUUAAUGUCGAAAAGCUGAAAACUUUAAAGAAAUUUAAAAAUAUGAUCCUUAUAUUAAAACGUUAGAAUUUUUUAGGAAAAGGGGCAUGUUUCACGUUAUUCGAGAAAGAAAAUCAUAUCCAGUAAGUUAGGACACAAUGCCUCGAAUUUCGGAUACGCGAAUGAAUGCCAAAAUUUAUUUAUUUAAAAGAUAUUUUAUUAUCUCGAGUUUAGGAAAUGGAUCAUGCCCAGUAAGUUAGGACACAAUCUUUUCUUAAUUCCCGAGAUCAUUUAAAAACUUAAGUUUGAGAAGAUUCGUGUAUUUAGAUUUAUUGUGAAAAUCGAAACCCAGUGAGUUAGGGUACGAUCUUCUCGAAUCUAAACACGAAGUGCCCUUUUUUAAAACAAAUUUAGUUAUAUCGAGUGAAAUAAAAACACGAAAUCGUAGUAAGAUAUGAGAGCAAAUUAUAUUGUUAUGCAUGGCAAAACUACGACAAAUACCAAAAAUAAUACGAGCAAUAGCAACAAUAUAAAGUAAAUAAAAAGUUAAAUCUAUAACAUACUAAAAUAACCAAGUAUAUAAACGAAUAAAGUUAAACAUUCAUUCAAAAUAAUAAUAGAAAUGAAAUAAAUAAAUAAUGAAAAACAAACAAAGAAAAUAUAUAAAACUAUAAAAAUAUAAAUGAUAUAUAUGUGUGUAUAUACAUAAAAUUAUGGAAAUAUGAAAAAUGUAUGUAUAUACGUAUUUUAAAAUUAUCAUAAUAUAUAUAUAUAUAUAUAUAUAUAUAUAUAUAUAAGUAAGCAUAUACAAAUAUAUGUAUAUAACUAUCAUAAAAUAUAAAAGUAUAUAUAUAUAGGUACAUAUAUAGGAAUCAUAAAAUAUAAAGAAUAUAUAUACAAAAUAUAUAUUUUAGUAGUAUAAAGGAUAUACAAAUAUACAUUCACGCAAAUAAAUGAGGAUAUAUGUAAGUACGUAUGUAUAAAAGUUUAAAAUGCAAAUGUAAAUACAUACAUGUAUAUCUUUUAUAAAAUAUAUAAUAAAAAAAGUAUAUGUGCACGUAAAUAUUAAAUAUAUACAUAAGGGUAUAUAUAAUAAAGCAAUUAUAUAAUAGUAGUAGUGAUAAUAAUAAUAAUAAUAAUAAUAAUAAUAAUAAUAAUAAUAAAGUUGCUAAAAUAUGGACUAAAUCAAAAUAAACAAAAGUGUUGGGUGAAAUCAAAAUAAAAAAAAACGAAAAAAGGAUUAAAUUGUGACGCGCCGAAAGAGGGAGGACCGAAUAGGGAAAUAACCCCUAUCGAUUAAACGACGUCGUUCCAACGAAGUCAAAGCGCAUGGUCUAGGGACCAAACUGAAACAGAAACAAAAUUCGAUGCCAAAAUUGCAAAAAUAAAAAAAAACUGUAUUGAAUACGCCACAAAGGAGUGAGGACCUAUGGCGCAAAUAUCCCAAGAACCAAAAAAACGCGCGGAUCCUCCCCCAGGGUCGGGUCACCGCGCGGGUCAGAUGUCCUUAAGGUAAAACGGCGCCGUUUUCAUUUUAUUAUUUAAGCCCAAAACAUUUUUUUAUCCAUUUUCAGCCCCCUUUUUUUUAAAAAACUCUUAAACAAAACCCUAGCUCCCUUUUUUCUCUCAUUUUCCUCCCACUCAGCCCCCAAGUUCAAACCACCGUCGCCUCCACCUUGGCCAGUGGCCGGAGUAGCGCAAAAGGGACCUCACGGCUUUCUCUUCUUUCGGUAUCCUCGAAGGCUUGGCCUUCUCAACCGUGCGACCGAGAAAGAGAAAGGAUCCCUUCUCAAGUUCGAUUCCAACGAUGGCGGAGACGGGCUCCGACACCGAUCCUUAAAACGAACAGGUAUCUUUCUUUUCCUUUUUUGUUGUUCUUCUUUGUUAAAAGUGUAGUGAGACAAACCAAAAAAUAAAAUAAAAAUAAAAUAAAAUGAAUAAUAAAGGGAAUAAUAAGUAUGCAAGGAAAUAAACUGGGAUCAACCUUUUAUCUUAAUGCUUUUUUCUCUUGCUAUUAAUCGAUCGUAAAAAAUAUACAGACAUGGUGUUUGGCUUUUAUAGCCGAUCCAUUUCUAUUUUCUAUAUUAUUUGCUACUUUGCGUGUUUCCCCCUUGUUUGCAGAGUGAUUUGAUGCUGAUGGGUUAGGUGGCAGAGUUGGUGGUUGCUAGAGGCGACGGCAACAGAGAGGAAAUGACGGCGGCGGCGUGGAAGUCAAAAGGGCAGGUGGUGCGGCUGAAGGUAGUAGGCUAGGGUUCUGUUUUCUAAUUUGCACUUUGGGCCAUUUGGGCCAUUGGGGUUUAGUUUUAGUGGGUUUAGAUUUUGGGUCUAGGUUUGGGCUGAUGGGUAAGGUCUAGGUGGUAUUGGGUAUUGGGUUAGUGUUGGGUUUGGUUAUUGGGUAAUGGGCCUCGGUUAAAAAAAAUUGGGCUUGUACAGCUGCCCCUCUUUGCUCGUUGUCGUGUAACGAUAACAGAGCAAAGACUAAGAAAGCCCAAUUUUGCCCAGGCUCAUCGAGUUUCGACUUCUCUUGACGCUUUUCUUCUUCAGGUAGCCUCAUUCCAGUCCACUUUGUCUUGUUGCUUCAAUCUACUUCACUGCACUUCAGAGGGAUCUGACGUGUAGCUUUGCAGCAACUUCGGGGAGAUAGGAUUAUCGGCUUCAAUCUGAGGUGAUCUACUCUACUGUAACUUCAGAGAGAUAAGAUCUUUUUUUUUUAAUCCACUCCACUGUAACUUCAGAGAGAUAGGAUUACUAGCUUCAAUCUACUCCGCUGUAAUCUCAGGGAGAUAAGAUCUGAAAUUCUUUGGUCUGUUCCAUUGUAAUCUCAGGGAAAUAAGACCUGGUGCGAUCUACUCUACUGUAACUUCAGAGAGAUAAGAUCCUUAGUUUUAAUCCGCUCUACUGUAAUCUCAGGGAGAUAGGAUUACUAUCUUCAAUCUGCUCCGCUGUAAUCUCAGGGAAAUAAGAUCUGAAAUUCUUCGGUCUGUUCCACUGUAAUCUCAGGGAGAUAAGACCUGUAUAAUGAACCUAAUUAUGCCUAAUGAUUAGGAUGACAUGAUCAAAAUGAAACAAAUGCUCCUAUCUAGACAUGUGUGAACGGUGUUUGCAUGAAUGCAGAAUUUUAUUUUUCGUGAAUGAUCUCGCUUAGGUUAUCAUUACUCGAAGUUUAUCAAGGUUUUGUGACUGAUGUGUUACAACACCUUCUUGCUUGACUAACUUUUCUAAAGGAACACUUAGCCAAGUUGUCCCCCAUUGUGAACGUCAAAGUUCAAUCCACUGGGACAUGAAAUUUGUACCAUCAAACUCCCACCGUAACCCAAAGGUAGAAAGAUAUGGCUUUUCCUCCGUCCUCUUUUAUCAUAAUUUGGAGAUAUUGGAUCUGAACCGUUCUGGUUUCUUACACCAUUCUCAGGGUGUCAUACCAAAGACUUAUGCGCAAAUGAAGGCUCUCUUCUCCGUGGUAACCUCUUUCUUAUCACUUGGUGAUUAUUGCUUGCUAGUUCAUUGAAGCCUUGUCACCUAACACGACCUUUGUCAUUUUGUUUUAUCCACGUUUGGACAACCAAGUUUAAAAGGAUAGUCCUGAUUUAGACUUUUUCCUUUUAGACAUUUCAAAUUUGGUGUGUUCUAAACAACGGUCCUGUUUCAGGUUCCUUCAUUAUUUAGAAAUUUCUAGAGUAAUAUGGAAAGCUCAUUUUGCUUGAACAUUCAGUCCAUUAAUCGUUAUUUCAAAUGUUUUUGAAAGAAGAUUAUCACAAUGGACAAACAAAAUGCUAUUGAGAGCAAAUCUCGAAAUGAAUGAGUUAACAAAUUUUCCUAAGAUAAGAUGAAAAAUAAACAAAAUGAAAUUUUAUUGGGGAACAAAGCUUGAAAUGAAUACAUCAAUCAAGACAACAAAUUUUGCCAAGAUUCAAAAUAUAAGAUGACAACAGGUGCCCCAGAUAUCGCAGCACGAGCUUCCCUACAUAAGUUUUUUUUUAGACCAUUUAAUAUGUGUUUAGGGAAUCUACAGUAUUUUGUCGAUACCCCAAGAUGUCGCCUAUCCUUUCUUGUGAUUCAAGUAUAGCGAGACCACCAUAUGCCCCAGAUUUUUGAUCAAAAUUUGAGUUGUUCCGUUCACCUCAUGCCUCAUCAAAAUUUGAGCCGCCUUUUUCAGGUUUUCAACUCAAAUCCCCUUUGGUCUCAAGGCGCCUUUUUACGGGUUUUCACCUUGGCCUCUCCUUUUUUUUUAAGUGAAAUAUUUCUUGACUGAGUCUGAAUUCACAGGAUUUGGCAGGCUUUUACCAUCUAUUUCGCUUAAGAUUAAAGCUCCUCCUGAAAAGGCCUUUUUUACCACAUAUGGACCUUCCCAAUUUGGCAUCCAUUUUCCUCUAAAAUCCUUUUGUAGAGGAAGAAUCUUUUUCAACACCAAGUCCCCCUCGUAAAAUUCUCUGGGACGAACUUUUUUGUUAUAGGCUCGCAUCAUUUGUUUCUGAUACAUCUGACCAUGACUAAUAGCUUUUAACCUCUUUUCUUCUACCAAGUUUAGUUGGUCAUAUCGAGAUUGAAUCCAUUCAGCCUCAUCCAACUUUAGUUCAGCUAAUACUCGGAGAGAAGGAAUUUCAACUUCUAUGGGUAAAACUGCCUCCAUCCCAUAGACUAAAGAAAAUGGCGUUGCCCCCGUAGAGGUCCUAACAGAGGUACGAUAUGCCAGAAGGGCAAAAGGUAGUUUCUCGUGCCAGUCUUUGUAGGUUUCAGUCAUUUUCCCUACAAUUUUCUUGAUAUUUUUGUUAGCUGCUUCCACGGCACCAUUCAUUUUUAGACGGUACGGUGACGAGUUGUGGUGUCUGAUCUUGAACUGACUACAAACUUCUGCUAUUGAGUUGUUGUUCAAGUUCAGUGCAUUAUCGGAUAUGAUCCUUUCAGGCAUCCCGUAUCGACAUAUGAUCUCUUUUUUCAGAAAUUUGCUAACUGCUGACUUCGUGACAUUUGCAUACGAAGCGGCCUCCACCUAUUUAGUGAAGUAAUCAAUAACCACAAAGAUAAAACGAUGCCCAUUAGAAGCCUUCGGAGAUAUUGGCUCGAUAACAUCCAUUCCCCACAUGGAGAAAGGCCAUGGAGAAACCAUAACAUGAAGAGGUGACGGUGGUGCGUGCAUUUUGUCACCAUAAAUUUGACAUUUAUGGCACUUUUUGGCAUAAUUAAUGCAAUCCCCUUCCAUGGUGGACCAAUGGUACCCAAACCUCAUAAUUUGUCUGGCCAUCGUGAAGCCAUUUGCAUGCGUUCCACAGAUACCUUCAUGCACUUCUUCCAAAAUUUCCUUAGCUUCGACAGCGUCCACACAUCUCAACAAUACUUGAUCUUUUCCUCUUUUAUACAAGAUAUCCCCAUCUAGGACAUAAUCAAUGGCUAAUCUCCUUAGUGUCUUCUUAUCAUUUUCAAUCGCAUGGUCAGGGUACUCACGACUCUUCACAUAUCGCAAUAUGUCAUGGUACCAGGGAUGAUCAUCCUUUUCUCCUUCAUUGUCAAUGUUGUAACAAUGGGCUGGAGCCUCAUAAACGCUGAUCUGGAUAGGCUUCAUAUCCUCUAGCCUGUUCGCUCUGAACAUAGAAGCUAGGGUAGCCAAAGCAUCUGCCAUCUGGUUCUCAUCUCGCGGGAGAUAACUAAAGGUGACACUAUCAAAUUCCUCAAUCAAUUCCAUAACCAAUUUUCGAUAGCGGACUAACUUGGGGUCCCUUGCUUCCCAUUCCCCUUUGAGCUGGUAAACUACUAAUGCAGAAUCCCCGUAUAUCUCUAGCACCUUAAUUUUCCGCUCUAUGGCUGUUCGGAUGCCCAUAAUGCAAGCUUCAUACUCAACCAUGUUAUUUGUACAAUCAAAAUCCAAUUUGCUAGUGAAAGGGUAAUGAUCUCCACUAGGGGACACGAGUACUGCCCCGAUUCCGUUACCUAUAGCAUUUGAAGCUCCAUCAAAAUUUAGCUUCCAAGGACCACCUUCUUGGAAAUCUUUUUCUAUAGUUGCAACAUACAUCAAAUCUUCAUUUGGGAAAUCAAAGUUCAAGGGUUCAUAAUCCUCCAGCGCUCUACUUGCCAGAAAGUCCGCUAUUGCACUCUCUUUUACAGCCUUCUGGUUCACAUAGACUAUGUCAAACUCAGAUAGGAGAAUUUGCCAUCGGGCCAUUCUUCCACUCAAAGCGGUUGAUUCCAUCAAGUAUUUCAGGGGGUCCAAUUUAGAAAUUAGCCAGGUUGUAUGGUACAACAUGUACUGUCUCAGUCUCCGAGUUGUCCAGAUCAGGGCACAACAUAACUUCUCGAUUGGCGAAUAUCUUGUUUCACAUUCGGUGAACUUCUUACUGAGAUAGUAGAUUGCUCUUUCUUUUCGUCCUGUCUCAUCAUGUUGACCAAACAUGCAUCCCAUGGAAUUUUCAAAUACUGCCAAAUACAGUAUGAGCGGUUUGUCUGGGCAAGGUGGCAUCAGCACUGGGGCGUUGGACAAGUAAUGUUUCACUUUUUCAAAAGUUUUUUGGCACUUCUCAUCCCAUACACCUGGAUUAUGUUUCUUAAGGAGACGGAAUAUGGGGUCACAUUUCUCGGUUAAUUGUGAAAUAAACCGAGCGAUGUAGUUCAUUCUUCCUAGAAAACCUCGAACCUCUUUUUCAGUACGCGGCAGAGGUAAUUCUUGUAUUGCUCUUACUUUGUCAGGAUCAAUCUCGAUUCCUCUCUCAUUGACCACGAACCCAAGCAAUUUUCCUGAUCUGACCCCAAAUGUGCAUUUUGCUAGAUUUAAUUUUAGCUGAAAUUUUCUCAACCGCAUAAAUAAUUUCUUAAGGACCUGCACAUGUUCCUCUUCCGUUUUAGAUUUUGCAAUCAUGUCAUCAACAUAGAUUUCUAAUUCCUUAUGCAUCAUAUCGUGAAAUAGUGUUACCAUGGACCUCUGAUACGUUGCCCCUGCAUUUUUCAACCCAAAUGGCAUCACUUUAUAGCAAAAGGUUCCCCAUAGGGUUAUGAAUGUAGUUUUCUUCAUAUCCUCAGGAUGCAUCUUAAUUUGGUUAUAUCCAGAGAAACCAUCUAUGAAAGAAAACAAUAAAUGCCCCGCUGUGUUGUCUAUUAAGGUGUCGAUGUGCGGCAAGGGAAAGUUAUCUUUUGGGCUAGCCUUAUUUAAAUCUCUAUAAUCCACACACAUUCGUACCUUUCCAUCUUUCUUAGGGACAGGAACGAUAUUGGCCACCCACUCGGAGUAUUUGACCACUUGCGGGAAUCCAGCGUCGAAUUGCUUUUGCACCUCCUCUUUUAUUUUUAAUACAACAUCUGGCCUCAUUCUUCGGAGUUUUUGCUGAACUGGUUUGCAAUCUUCCUUUAUAGGAAGUCGGUGAACUACAAUGUCAGCACUUAGCCCCGGCAUAUCUUGAUAUGACCAUGCGAAGACAUCUUUGAAUUCUCGAAGCAACUUAAUGAGGUCUUGUUUUACUUCUUCAGCUAUGCAUGUGCCAAUCUUCACCACUUUUCCCUCUUCCAGGGCCACCGUCUCUACUGUCUCCUUGUGAGGUAGGAUUUGUUUUUCUUCCUGCUCUACCAUCCUCAACAAGUCCGGAGAUAGGUUGCAAUCUAUGUUAUCUUCAAAAUCUUGAGAUUCCUCUAAAUACAUAUCUCGUUCGAAAGGAUUUUCUAAGUCCAUAGUAGGGUUACUCAUGUCAUUGAUGUCUUGGGACCUGUUAUAAGUAUCGAAAAAUGUACAGGGAAUGUAUGAAUUUAAGGAUUCUUAUUUGGUCAUGAAUGAAAUGAAAGAAUGAUUUGGAAUAAAAGCAUCCAAGAUGACUAUUCAUGCGAAAGAAUGAAAAGAAUUUUAAGAGAAUAUAUACUCAAAAUGCGAAAAUAUAUUUAAUUGAAAUCACAAUGUUCAAAUAUAAGCCCUUUUCACUUCACAAAAAGUUUCAUUUUCUCUAGGCUUAGAACAAUUAGUAUGUUUUGAAUAUUACUCUGAAAAAGCUCUAAAAACUUCAGGCAUUUCUUCUGCAGUCCAAUUGUUUAAAACACUCCCAGGUUCAAAGGGAUAGAUGCCUGAUGUACUUCCUUCUUCAGAUUUUUCUUCAGAUAUGGCAUUGAUGUUCAAGUUUCCUAGCAUUUCCUCUGUGAUCUCCCUUCUUGGAGUCAUCAGUCCAGAAUACAUGGUUCCUCCCGAUACAAAGGUCUUGGAUAUGUGGGGGAAAGCCAUCGGUUCCCAAUCAACUUCUUUUCCGUUUACACGCGCCUUCUUCCUCUUUUGUCUUUUCUCCAACUCUUUUCUUCUUUGCUUAGCGUUUGGUUUAAGUCCUAAACCAAAACGGUCUUGCUUGUCCUUCAGCACUGGUGCCUCUAUCCUUCCUUGAAGGCAUCUUCCCAGUCCUCUUCUGAGCAUAGCUCCUUUCCCAACUGUCAUUUGUAGUCCCAUCCCCGUGGCUCUAGAUAUGCUGGGCAUCGGGAUUUUCUUUCCCUCAAUGACAAAGGUCGCAUUUACGAACUCUAAAGAUCGAAAGGAACAUUCAACCGCCUCAUCAUCUGUUCCCAAAUAUGGCGCGUCACUGGUUAUCGAUGCAAUGAUGUCUUCCUCAGCGUCAAUCGUAAUUAACCGGCCUUCUGUUACCAAUUUCAACUUCUGGUGUAAUGAUGAAGGCACCACUCCUGCUGAAUGAAUCCAGGGUCUUCCCAACAAGCAGUUAUACGAAGGCUUGAUAUCCAUCACUAAGAAAUCCAUCUCGUAUGUAUUUGGGCCAAUCAAGAGGGGUAUUUCUAUUCUUCCCAUCACCUUCCUUUCAGUACCAUCAAAUGCUCUCACUAUAUUCUGGCAUGAUUUCAUGUGAGAGCUAUCCACCGGUAACCUAUUUAAGGUGGAUAGGGGUAAAACAUUCAAGGCUGACCCAUUAUCAAUUAGUACUCCUGCUAACGUAUACUCCCCACAACGAGCAGUGAUAUGUAAUGCUUUGGUAGCUCCUCUUCCCCCCGGUGGUAUUUCAUCAUCAUUAAAGAAAAUGAAAUUGUCGGCACUGAUAUUGUUAACCAAGCGGUCCAACUUAUUCACUGAGAUAUCGUGAGCGACAUAAGUUUCAUUUAGCACCUUAAUCAACGCAUUACGAUGUAUCUCCGAACUUAUAAGCAACUCAAACACCGAGAUACGAGCCGGUUGUUUAUGCAAUUAUUCUACCACGCUGUACUCGCUAUGUUUCAAGAAUUUUAGAAAUUCUCUAGCCUCAUUUUCAGUUACCGGCUGAUUGACACGCGGUUCAAUUUUGUCUGUUUUUGCUUUUCCCAACUCAACCGCUAAGGCUUUUCCUUUUCUGGAUUCCGCUCUUGUGUUUGCCGGAUCAUAGCAAUUUCCACUUCGUGUAUAGAAUCAUUCGUCUUCUCCUGAAGUGUUUACCAAGCACUCUUUCCCUGGAAUUGUCACAUUGCAGUCGUAAUUCCAAGGAACCUUUUUGCUAUCCUCGUAAGGAAAGGAUACAGGUUUUUGGAUUAUGACCUUUGGUGCUAUUUGAAUUCCAGAUUCUCUGCUCAUUGGUUUUGAAAUAAUUACUACUGGGUGAUUAGCCUUUUGGGCUUUCCCCGUAGAUCCUUCUUCUGCAGCAUAAACUUCUCCUUCUUCUAGUCCAUUAAUCUCUUCAUAAAAUUCCAACUCUUUGUUAUCCAUUAAGUUUUGCACCAUGGUUCUGAAUUCGGUACAUCUUUCGAUGUCGUGGCCUUCUUCUGCGUGGAACUCACAAAACUUACUUGCUCCUUCAGGCCUUUCUAUUGAAUCUUGCUUGAUGCGUCCUCCUUUGACCAUUUGUUUCCAAACCCAUUCAAGGGGGGUCCUUAUCUCUGCUACAUUAGUUUUGACUCUCCUUCCUCCAUUCUCAAUUAUCGCGUUCACCCCUUCAUCAUGAUUGGGCAACGGACUUUCCGUGUUGAGUGAGUCACCAAAUUUGACAACGCCCAAUUUGAUAAGUUCUUCCACUACCUUCUUGAAAGCAGUACAAUUUUCUAUCGAGUGCCCUGAAAUUCUGGCAUGAUAGUCACACUGAGCGUUUGUGUCAUACCAUUUUGGAUAUGGGGGUUGUAGAGGACUUAAAUCACGGGGAGCGACAACAUGCGCAUUAAAUAAAUUCUGGUACAGCUCCUUAUAUGUCAUUGGAAUGGGAGUGAACUGAGCUUCUCAGUAUUUUGCCUCAUUCCCGACUCUUGUUUCGAUGAGCCCUGUUGAUUAAUGACCGCUUUCCUCGGUUGACUCACAGUAAUUGAUUUACUGUAGGCAUUCACAUUAUUCACUUCAUUUUCUCUUUUCCUCGGGGCUGUCCUUUUAUUGUUCUCCCCUCCGUCUAUUCUUCCACUUUUAAUAGCAUGCUCGAUCAUUUUGUCGUUCAUAAUUAUAUCCGAGAAAUUCUUUGAAGCGCUUCCCAACAUGUGAGUGAUGAAUGGGGCUUUCAAUGUAUUAAUAAAAAGCGUCGUCAUUUCUUUUUCCAAAAGAGGUGGUUGCACCUGCACUCCCACUUCUCUCCACCUCUGUGCGUAUUGUCUGAAGCUCUCGUUCGAUUUCUUCUCCAAAUUCUGCAGAGUUAUCCUGUCAGGCAUCAUUUCUGAGACAUGAUUAUAUUGUCUCAUGAAUGCCUGUGCUAAAUCUCUCCAAGUAGCAAUUUUGGUCCGGCUUAGCUGAUUGUACCAUUUUAACACCGCACCUGUAAGACUAUCCUGGAAGUAGUGUAUUAAUAAUUGAUCAUUAUUAAUAUACCCCGUCAUUCUCCUGCAGAACAUAGUGAUAUGGGCUUCUGGGCAACUGGUCCCAUUAUAUUUCUCAAAUUUCGGCAUCUUAAAUUUGUAAGGAAGCACCAGAUCCGGAACUAAGCUCAAAUCUUUCGCAUCUAUUCCACGAUAGCUGUCAAUACUUUCUAUUUCCCUAAACUUCUCUUCAAUCCAUUUCCAUUUCUCCUCAAACUGCUUUGGUAACUCUUCUUUUACCUUGUCUUUUUCAGCUACUUCAUCGAAAUCAGGGACAACAAAAUUAACCAGAUUAUCGCUAGGACUAGAACCAGAUCCGACCUGAAGGUUCUUCGAUAUUGAAACAUCACCUUGAAGAUGCUGAGGCCUAAUCGAAACAGAAGGUCUUCGUGGAUGUGGUUCAGUCUGAACUUGCACAUGCGGAGGUGUGAAUCCUGGAGGAAAAAGUGGUUCAUCAUUGUUUUCUUCUUCAUCGCAAAUCACAGGACCUUUCCCUUUAUCCGCUCCCUUAGUUAUUAAUUGCGUCAAUUUAGUCAUUAGGUCAUCCUGAGACUCUUUCAUCCUUUGUACCAUGUCUUUUUGGAUCUUUUCCACAUGUUCUUUCAUUUGCACCUGCCACUGGUCUUGCAUUUCCUUUUGAAGCCGUUCUAGUUUUUCCAACCUUUGUUCCAUAAUUUUUGACUUAGCCCGAGUGCCGUAACAGUGUCGAUUUUCCAGGUUAGCUGAAAUAAUUUUAUUCAAUUAGGGUCCUUUAAUGGUUGUUAAUGCAUAUAAUGUGAUGCAAUGCAUGAAAUGAAUGCAAAAAAAAGGCGUUGAUUCUAAUUCAAUUUCAUUCUAAAAACUUUACUAGAAAAUAAACUUCUUUACAUAAAGUGGAUUACAGAUACGACUUAGCCCUAAUACUUAAAACUCUAAUUUUCUUAAGUAACGAGGCUAACUCUUGUCCUCGACUUGACUCUAAUUCAUAUUUCACGCUCAACACAUCAGCUUGUACUGCUAACGUUUGCAAAUGGUCAGCCACCUCUCGGAUUUGAAGCACGGCUUCUCCCAUAAUGUGAUCCCUAUCUCUUACUUGGUUCUGAAAGUAGUGCAACUGCUCGACUUGACGAUCUUCAUUAGAUUCCAAGUACUCAAUCCGAAUCUCACAAUUUCGCAAUGCUGCUUCUAACUCUUCAAUUCUUUCUUUCAUUUCUUCAAUUCUAUUUAAGCUUGCCCUUAAUUCCAUCACAGAAUUCCGAUUUCGAUGCUGAUGAAGAGAUCCUUCUAAUUCAGUCACUCUGUUCUCCAGCUCCCCUUUCUCUUUCUGAUUCUCCGACAAGCUCCUCUUUAAAGUCUCAUUUUGUGCUUGAAUUUCUUGGAACCUCCUUUCCCAUUCAUCUGCCCUAUUCUUUUCUUCUUGAAUCUCCUUGCGCCACUGAUCAGAAGUCUUUCCCAACCCGGCAGUCCUUAUUGAUAAUCGCAACUUCUUAUAAUCUGUUUUUAAACUAUCAAGAUCUUCUUCAGCCCUAACUUUCCCUUUUCUUAGUCGUUCGGCCUCGAGCUUCUGAACAUCUGCGUCCAAUCUUAAGUUCAUCUUUUCUUCCUCCAUUUGCUCUAUCUGUUUUUCCAACUCUGCAUUUCUUCUUUCAAAGUUCUGUUUUAAAAUUUCCAGUUCAGAAGGGACGACCCUUAAAUGCUCUUCUAAUGACCGACUGCCUUCAUGACUCGAUUUGGGAAUAUUGUCAUUGAUUCUUCUUGUCCUCCAUUCGUCGUACUCAGGAGUCGUCAUUGGUCCUACAGCCAAUCUCUUUAUUCGUCGAGUUUGGUUCCACGCAUUGGAUAUCUCUCGAGUCCUCUUUUUGUAACCAUCACUCCCGUAUGCGAAUUCAUACCCGGCUAAUCCCUGGGUUGCGGGUAUAAACUGUCUUGACCUGUAUUGUCUGAGCACUAAUAACGGGGCAUAUCCAAUAGCUCCCCAGAUUCCGAGUAGAGGGACCCAAUCAAAAUCGCCACACCAAUACAAAAUUUCGUCUGGAAGUAACCACGGAGCUCUCCAUUCAAUGUCCUCUUCUUGAAGGCUCUGAAGAAUUGCCAUCCAUUUUUCCAUCGAAAUGUCAUCUCUUCUCAUUGUACCUACUAUCUCCUUUAGUGGCGAAUAGUUUUCAGAGAAGACCCGAUAUGACACCUUAUCCACUUUCCAAAAAUGACUGUGAAACCACGCAAGUAAUAACUGAACACAUCCGACGAAUCUGCCUUCACCCGCUCGUCGACAGGCAUUCAAUGAUCUGAAUGUUUCCGCUAGAAUUGCUAGAACCGGAGUAACUCCCUUGUCGAGACAGUUGAAUAGAUCAGUGACUGCCUCAUCAAUAUGCCCCAAAGCUCUGGGAAAGAUAACUAAGCCGUAUAGGCACAAAGCGAAGACAUCUACCCUCUUUUUUACAUCUGGAUGCACUAGGACCACAUCUUUCAAAUUCCUCCAAUAAAUGCACUUGUUAACCCCUUUUUGUUUGAUUCGGGCUGUGACCCACUGCUCACUCAUACCUGUUAUGUUCAUCAAUCUUCUCAAAAAGGGUGCAUUUGCAGCUCUUGAGUAGAUUCUAUCGACCUGACUCUUCGAACACCGAAAUAAAGCCAUAUAUUCUUCUAUCGUAGGUACCAAGUCGACUUUUCCGAACGUAAAACAACUGUAGGCGGGGUUCCAAAAUUGUGCGAGAGCCCGAAACAGGUGCUUGUCCACCUUCAUAUCUAGCAGGUACAGCAAAUCCCCUUAAUCGGAAUAGAACAAUCGUCUGUCCUCCUCGUUCAACUGGCUCCAAAUUUCUUUCAAUUCUUGCAAAUUGUUCUGGGUUACGCUAAUACGGGUGAAGUCCCAUAACUCAGAUUCAUAUCCUUCAGCCAAACUAUCCCCUUUCUCUCGUUGUGUCGUUUCUGACCAAAUUCCGGACCGCCGCAUUAUCUUCCACCUUAUCAAGAAAUCCCCUUUCCAUGAUAAGCUUUCUUUCUAGAAACCGAAUAUGAACCAACGUCUUUUAUAGUGAAAUGCCAUGCAGUUGAAAUGUCAUGCAUCCAAAAUAAAACAACAAACGUUAGUAUCAGGUAUAAACAUACAAUCCAUGACAAUUCAGAAAGAAUAAAAGCAUAUACCAGGGUAUCUACUAGGGUUUGGGGUAGUUCUACCUAGGGUAAGUUCCUAAGGUUCACUACAUGAGGUUCGGCUCUAAAGAUGAGGUACCCAAACCAGCAGAUUCCUCGAUCUUCACCCAUUAUAGGCUCAUACAGACCGAGUUCGGUUCAAGGGGUACAUUUCCCUAUGGCUGCACGGAGAUGAAAAUCUCACGAAGACAUAGGUACGGAUGUAUCCCGAAAGCGAUCCACUAUCCUGCACGGAGGUGAAAACCUCACGAAGCAGUAGCUUCUCACUCCUACUUAAAAGGGUGUGACCAAAUGUCAUGCAAUGCAAUGCAAAAGAUACCAAAAUUUAAACAAACAGAGCAAUUAUAAACCACAAUGAUGAAAAUUAUAAUGAAGAAUGAAAUGUCAUGAAAGGAUCGUAAAUUUAAACCAAAUUUUCAAUUUUCAACAAAAAGACAAAAAAUAAUCAACUCGUGGCUCGACUCACUUAUUUUAUGUCCCCAGUGGAGUCGCCAAGCUGUUGACACCAUAUUUUUUGAUGAAAAACGGGGUCGACUUGGGUUUUGAAAAAGAAACGGGAGUCGCCACCAAUCCUUUUUUAUGAGGUGUGGUUGGAUCACCUCGAAAAAUGGUUGUUUUUAAUAAACGGUUUGAUUUUAUUAAAACAACAAGUUUGGUCCACGAAAUCUAGAAAACGAGUUCGGGAGUCGGUUACGUACGAGGAAGGAUUAGCACCCUCGAUACGCCCAAAAUUGGUACCUUAGUUGAUUACUUAAUGUCUUAAUGUCGAAAAGCUGAAAACUUUAAAGAAAUUUAAAAAUACGAUCCUUAUAUUAAAACGUUAGAAUUUUUUAGUAAAAGGGGCAUGUUUCACGUUAUUCGAGAAAGAAAAUCAUAUCCAGUAAGUUAGGACANNNNNNNNNNNNNNNNNNNNNNNNNNNNNNNNNNNNNNNNNNNNNNNNNNNNNNNNNNNNNNNNNNNNNNNNNNNNNNNNNNNNNNNNNNNNNNNNNNNNNNNNNNNNNNNNNNNNNNNNNNNNNNNNNNNNNNNNNNNNNNNNNNNNNNNNNNNNNNNNNNNNNNNNNNNNUUUAUUGUGAAAAUCGAAACCCAGUGAGUUAGGGUACGAUCUUCUCGAAUCUAAACACGAAGUGCCCUUUUUUAAAACAAAUUUAGUUAUAUCGAGUGAAAUAAAAACACGAAAUCGUAGUAAGAUAUGAGAGCAAAUUAUGUUGUUAUGCAUGGCAAAACUACGACAAAUACCAAAAAUAAUACGAGCAAUAGCAACAAUAUAAAGUAAAUAAAAAGUUAAAUCUAUAACAUACUAAAAUAACCAAGUAUAUAAACGAAUAAAGUUAAACAUUCAUUCAAAAUAAUAAUAGAAAUGAAAUAAAUAAAUAAUGAAAAACAAACAAAGAAAAUAUAUAAAACUAUAAAAAUAUAAAAGANNNNNNNNNNNNNNNNNNNNNNNNNNNNNNNNNNNNNNNNNNNNNNNNNNNNNNNNNNNNNNNNNNNNNNNNNNNNNNNNNNNNNNNNNNNNNNNNNNNNAAAAAAGUAUAUGUGCACGUAAAUAUUAAAUAUAUACAUAAGGGUAUAUAUAAUAAAGCAAUUAUAUAAUAGUAGUAGUGAUAAUAAUAAUAAUAAUAAUAAUAAUAAUAAUAAUAAUAAUAAUAAAGUUGCUAAAAUAUGGACUAAAUCAAAAUAAACAAAAGUGUUGGGUGAAAUCGAAAUAAAAAAAACGAAAAAAAGAUUAAAUUGUGACGCGCCGAAAGAGGGAGGACCGAAUAAGGAAAUAACCCCUGUCGAUUAAACGACACCGUUCCAACGAAGUCAAAGCGCAUGGUCUAGGGACCAAACUGAAACAGAAAUAAAAUUCGAUGCCAAAAUUGCAAAAAUAAAAAAAAACUGUAUUGAAUACGCCACAAAGGAGUGAGGACCUAUGGCGCAAAUAUCCCAAGAACCAAAAAAACGCGCGGAUCCUCCCCUAGGGUCGGGUCACCGCGCGGGUCAGAAGUCCUUAAGGUAAAACGGCGCCGUUUUCAUUUUAUUAUUUAAGCCCAAAACAUUUUUUUUAUCCAUUUUCAGCCCCCUUUUUUUUAAAAAAAACUCUGAAACAAAACCCUAGCUCCCUUUUUUCUCUCAUUUUCCUCCCACUCAGCCCCCAAGCUCAAACCACCGUCGCCUCCACCUUGGCCAGUGGCCGGAGUAGCGCGAAAGGGACCUCACGGCUUUCUCUUCUUUCGGUAUCCUCAAAGGCUUGGCCUUCCCAACCGUGCGACCGAGAAAGAGAAAGGAUCCCUUCUCAAGUUCGAUUCCAACGAUGGCGGAGACGGGCUCCGACACCGAUCCUUAAAACGAACAGGUAUCUUUCUUUUCCUUUUUUUUUUUGUUCUUCUUUGUUAAAAGUGUAGUGAAACAAACCAAAAAAUAAAAUAAAAAUAAAAUAAAAUGAAUAAUAAAGGGAAUAAUAAGUAUGCAAGGAAAAAAAACUGGGAUCAACCUUUUAUCUUAAUGCUUUUUUUCUCUUGCUAUUAAUCGAUCGUAAAAAAUAUACAGACAUGGUGUUUGGCUUUUAUAGCCGAUCCAUUUCUAUUUUCUAUAUUAUUUGCUACUUUGCGUGUUUCCCUCUUGUUUGCAGAGUGAUUUGAUGCUGAUGGGUUAGGUGGCAGAGUUGGUGGUUGCUAGAGGUGACGGCAACAGAGAGGAAAUGACGGCGGGGGCGUGGAAGUCAAAAGGGCAGGUGGUGCGGCUGAAGGCAGUAGGCUAGGGUUCUGUUUUCUGAUUUGCACUUUGGGCCAUUUGGGCCAUUGGGGUUUAGUUUUAGUGGGUUUAGAUUUUGGGUCUAGGUUUGGGCUGAUGGGUAAGGUCUAGGUGGUAUUGGGUAUUGGGUUAGUGUUGGGUUUGGUUAUUGGGUAAUGGGCCUCGGUUAAAAAAAAUUGGGCUUGUACAAACUUAAUUAGACAUCAUUAAUUCACAAAUAUCCGAACAGCAGUAACAAUAUUCGGACAGCAUUGAUUUGCUCAAAAAUGGACAAUAUUUAAACAACAUUCGGACAGCAUAAUAUGCUCAAAAACGGACAGCAUUUAAACAACAUUCGGACAUCAUAAUAUGCUCAAAAAUGGACAUCAUUUAAACAACAUUCGAACAACAUAAUAUGCUCAAAAAUGGACAGCAUUUCAACAACAUUCGGACAACAUUUUAUCAUCACACAUACUAAAUUGCCACCAUCCAACACACAAGAUAUACCAUAUAAUAUACUUCCAAAAUGAGCUAAUUACAUAGCCUAAAAUACACAAAAUUAGAAUCAUUAUCAAGCCAUUUUCGCAUGGCUAAAUAUAUAUACACUUCAUGACCAAACAAAACAAAUACUAGCUUAUACAAGCAAUAUAUUCAAAGUUCGAGCUUUCAAAAUACCGAGAUAAAGAUCAAUAGUGUGGCGGACUGUAAUGGCCCAAAUUCAAGGUUAUCGGAAUAGUGGUUUCAUAACCACAAAUCUAAUUUAAAGAGAAAUUUAUUUUAAUAUUUUUGCAUGAAUAUAUGAUAGGAAAAUCGUAUGAAAAUAUCGAUAGAAAAAUUUUACCAAUUUAGUGGUUAGUUAGAAAAAGAAAUUAUUGAAGAAAUUGGGUAAAAACAAGGUGUCGAAACCUUCUUUUGAAAAACAAAAACUUUACGUUGUCGACUUCAAAAAAAAUUAAAAUUGGGAGUCGCCACCAAUCUUUUAUUGAGGUGUGAUGGGAUCACCUAAAAAACGGCUUUGGUCUACGAGUUUUUUUAAAAAAAAGGGGUCCGGGAGUCAUUUAGGUACAAGAAAGGAUUAGCACCCUUGUAUCGCCCAAAAUUGGUACCUAAUUAAUUAAUUAGUGUCUUAAGGUCGAAAAAAAUAUAAUCUUUAAAACACUUAAAACGUUACGUAUUAAGACCCUUCUCAAUUCAGAGAAGCAAAAAUGCCACACCCAAUGCGUUAGGGCACAACAUUCUAAUUUCCUCCAAAAUGAAUUAGGUCAAAAUACUCGUAUAAUGAAAAAAAUUAAAAGAAUAUUCAUUUAUCCAAGAUUUAAGAAAUCGCGGCCCAAUACGUUAGGGCACAAUUCCUUUAGAAUCCCAAACUCGGAAUAUUUCCUUUAUUGUUUUUAGAAAAAAAAUUCAUUUCGAGAAAUCAAUGCGUCACAUCCAAUACGUUAGGACACAACGUGUUGAAUUCCCAAUAAUGAAUUCUUAUUUUUUGAUUAAAGAGAAAUGCUCGAUUGUUAGACUUAACGAAGAAAAUCGGAACCCAAUACGUUAGGGCUCAAUUUCCUUGAAAAUCCUAAAUUCAAGCAUUCUCUCAAUUUUGAAAAGUUUGAAAUCGAGUAAAGAAUGAUGUGAUGCUAUAUUAAAUAUACAAUGCAAUAAUAAAUAUUACAAUGGCAUAGAAAUAAUAUAAAUAAAUGAAUAAAUAAAAUCAAUAUACAUAAUAAAAAUAAUCACAUACAAAAUAUCAAAUAAAUCAUAAAAAAACAAUUCUUUUUAACAUAUAAACAAAAACAUGAAUUAAUAAUCGAAUGAAGAAAAUAAACAAAAUAUAAAGAAUAAAAGGCACAUAAUAUAUGCAUUGAAAUUAAAAGCCAUACACAUAAUUUACAUAUGUAACUUUGGAUUAAAAUUUAUAAAAGCAGAAUAUAUAAUGCAUUUGUGAAAAUAAAAUAUAAAUUAUAAUGUAAGUGUUAAAAAAUACAUAUAUUUGAGCAUUUAAAAAAAUAUAUUCAUAUAUAUAUACAAGUAUAUAAAAAACUGGUUAAAAAUAUUAAUAUGUAUACAUACAUAUAUAUAAAAAGAUAAAUAUAACAUAUAUAGAUUAUAAAAAAUAAUUAUAUAUAUAAAUAAAAAUAAAAUAAAAAUAAUUACCUCAUAUUAAAAAAAUAAAUAUGCGAAAAAUAUUAGUUUUUAAAAAAAUAUAUAAAUACGCACAUAGAAACAAGUAUACAUAUAUAUAUAGCUAAAAUAAUAAUAAGUACAUAUGAAAAUAAUAAUAAUAAUUACACUAACAAAAUUAACUAAUUUUAAGAAAAAUAUAAAAAGGAUUAAAUUGAACUACAAGUAAACAAAUCUGGGGUAAAUCUGCAAAUAAAUAAAAUUUGGAGGACUAAAUUGAACGAGCGAAUUACAUAGAGGGGCUGGAAGGGAAAUUUUCCCUUCUCCUCUAAAACGGUGUCAUUCAAAAGGAUUAAAUUGGAAUUUAAAAUAAAUAAAAGGGUAAAUUAAAAAAUAAAGAAAACUUAAUUACAAAAACAUUAAAAGGCGGAAGGGCUAAAUAAAAAUAAAUAAAUAAAAUUCGCAGUGGUAUCACCUUCUCCCUUUUUUAAAAUCGUAAAUAAGUAAAAAAAUAAUCGAAAGAAAAAAUAGUAAGCCACCUUUAAAAAAAACUGCCAAUCGUUCUCUUUUUUAUUCCUCCUACAUUCUCCCUUUUUCUUUUUUUUUCUUUACAAUGAAGGGAGAGACCUCUAUUUAUAGUUGAGCCUCUCCAAAUCUAACGGUACAGAUCAAUUACAUCAACGGCUGAGAUUAAAGGGUAUCUACAAAUUAAAUCUCUAAGAUUACAAAAUCAUAUCUUCUAAGAUUACAUAUCAUAUCUAAGAUUGCAUAUAUCAUAUCUAAGAUUGCAUAUAAUAUCUAGGAUUGCAUAUCAUAUCUAAGAUUUCAUAUCCUCAAAAAUUAUGUUUCCAUAUGUGAGCCCGGGCUAAAAUUGAGUAUUACACAAGGUAUUGAGACCUCGAUCUCGUAAAAUCGAGUCAAAAAUAUUUUUAUAAAUAUUUAUGAAGUGUUAGUAAUAUGGUGUUAAAAUUUCGUUAGAAAAUUUUAAUGUUUGGGUAGUCAAUUAAGUGAAAAGGACUAAAUUAAAAAGGACGUAAAAGUUACUAGAAGGAUUAAAUAGCUCAAUUGUUAAAUGAGGAGGGACAUAAAUUGCAAAUAAGCCCACAAGGAGAUAUUUUGGGCGGCAUAAGCUGAGAAAAAUCAGGAGAAUUGGAGAAUUAAGGGUAAAAUUGGAAUAUUGCAAAAUUUACUUUAAAAGUUAGGACUAAAGUGGAAUUAUCUAGAUUUCUCUUUAUUUUUUUGCAUUCUCAUCAGCCAAAAAUGUCCUAAGGGUUUAGUCAAGCUGGUUUUUCAUAUUUUUGCACAGAGUGAGUUCAUCCUUAACUUUUUCUUGUAAUUUUUGUGUUUCUAAGACUUUUACAACUAGGUCCUAUUACUAAAUUCAUUAGUUUUUGAUUUUAUGAAUGAAAUUAAAAGUUUCUAUGAAUAUGUGCUGGAAUUUUAUGAUUAAAUAGCAUGAAAUUAAAGCUUUAAUUUGUUUAUGAGAUGAUUUUAUUAGGUAAUUUCAAUAGAAAUUGAUUUGUAGGACUUAAUUGUGAAAAAGUUUGGAAUUAAAGUCUAGUGCUAAAAUUAUGAUUUCCAAAGUUUAUAAAGUAGUUUAAAGUGAUAGAAUAAAGUUUUGAUUGAGAAAAAUCAGCUCAAUUGAGAGGUUAAUUGAGCAGGGAUGAAAUUAUCAUUUAUUGAAAGCUUAGGGAAAAAAUGGUAAUUAACAUUAUACACUAAAACAGUUUUGGACAUCAGCAGUAGUCUAACUUUGAAAAAUCACCAAAAAUUGUAGAGAUCUAAUUAGAGGAUGAUUAAAAUAUUAAAUUAAAGCUUAUUAAGUUUAGUUUCUUAUAAAAGAAACGGUGUAAGCAAUGAAAUUGUAAAUCAUGAGAUAUAAUAGAUUUUGUGAGACAAGGUCAGAAUGAAUUCGGGUUCCGCUGUUCUGAAUUUGGAAAAUCAUUAAAAAUUGUAAAAAAAAAUUAUUAUGAGUUAUAAUUUAUAUGCUUAGAAUCGUUAAUGAGUCUAUUUUCAGAAAAAAUAAACGGAAACAUCAUCCAAAUUCUGUACAAUGAGAUAAUUAAUUUUUAGUAAAGAGAAGUUGGAACUGUCAAACAGUGAAAUAGGGGGAAACUUUAAAGAAUAAACUGUACUUAUUGGCUAAACUAAAAAUUUUGAAAAUUUUACGGUAAGAAGAUAUGUGAGUCUAGUUUUGGGAAAAAUUAGCGGAUCUUAAUUUGGAGUUCUGUAGCUCAAGAUAUAAAUAAUUUAGUGAAUAUGACUCAGUGAGACAGCUUUGAAUGCACUAUAAAUAAUAAUGAAAUUAUAGAGAAUGUUACAUAUGAACAUGAAAUGUAUUAGAUUAAUGAGUAUAUUUAUUUAUUUAGAUCCAGAAAAUUCAAAUACGAAUCUAGAUCGAGGAAAAGAAAAAGUUCGGGAUUAGUAGAUUUUUGUUUACGAACAAGUAUCGAGGUAAGUUCGUGUAACUUGAAUUAUAUUCUUAAAUGCUUGAAAUAUAUUUUUCUUGAUGUGAAUAUGAUUUGGAUGUUUAUUGUAUGAUAAUUGAUGAAGUAUUGAUAUUCUUGAUGAAAAGAGAAAAUAAAUCCCAGUUGAAUGAAAGGAAAAUUCGAUAGAUCUCUGAAAAGGAAUUGACGGUAAAAAGGAUCUAGCCCGGACGGGUGAUUCUAUCCUGAUAUAGCCCUCCCGAAGAAUAUGUGGAAAAUAGAUUUAGCCUGGACGGGUAAUCCGAAUUAGGGUCUGAAUUUAGCCUGGACUGGUAAUUCAGAUCCAAGCUCAUUAAAGUAAUUGUCGUUGCAGGGGAUUUAGCCUGGACUGGUAAUCCCGACAAUACUCUAUGAGUUUAUAUUUUAGGGGAUUUAGCAUGGACUGGUAAUCCCACUGUAAGGAUGAUGUUCGCGGGAGUGUGCUCUUUGAAAUGGAAAUGUGCGCACAUGAAUAUGAAUUGACGGACUCGGAUUUGUACACUAAAGUGUACCCCUGAAAAUCCAUCGAAAUUCCAAGUAGUUCAACGGGAUAAAUAUGGAAAAAUAACAAGGGAAUGGAAAUCAUGGAAUUGAUGAGCUCAUCAAUCAUGGUAUAUAUUAUUGAUACAUGGAAAUUAUUGGACUAAUUUGAAUGUUGAGUUUAUGCAUGAUAGGGGAAUAAUGUAUGGAAUGGGUGUAUGAAUGUUUAUUGCAUUGUAUUGAAAAUAUUAGGUAAGUAUAAUUCUUAUUACAUGAAUUUACUAAGCACAAAGUGCUUACCCUGUUUCCUUUUCCCCUGUUUUGUAAUGUUAAGAGCUCGAAGGUUGGAUUUGGUCGGAGACGCAUCACACUAUCAACCUCAAGAUCUCGGUAUAUAAAGAAACUUUAUUUUGGAAAUCAAUGGCAUGUAUAAGCUAGUAAAGUAAAUGUUAAUGUGAAAUGAAUGUAUGGUUAGCCAUUGGUAUGGCUAACAAAUUUUGGUUUUGGUAUGUGAUGAGGGUAUCUUAUGAAUAUGUUAAAUCUAUCUUGAAAAUAUGUUGAAAUGGAUUGGUUGUGUUGGAUUAGUCUCGGUUUAAAAUUGCAGGGAAGGUUAGAAAUUUAUAAAGGGGUUAUAUUGAGUUCAAAAAAAAAAUUUGGGAUUUUGCGAAAAAGUUCUUAUGGUUUCAAUUUAAUCUUGAUUUGGUCCAGAUGUAUGUUUUGGGCUUCGGAGGCCUAAUAAAUGGACGUCAUGACAUGUUUUGAUAAAUGAAUAGUAUUUAACUCGUAAUAAUGGAAAAUUAAUUUGGCAAAAUUUGGUAAUGCCUCAUACCCUAUUUUGGCGGCGAAUAUGGGUAGGGGGUAUUACACGGACUUCCUUGACGACCCCCGAGCUCGUAACUAACCUCUAAAAUGUAUAAAACAACGAAUACACGUACAAGUAAGCUUGGAAAGCUUAGUAAGUCAUAAGUAAUUAAAUUAUCAAAUGAACAUUAGUAUGAUUAUUUCAAGUAGGCUGAAUACUCCUAAUCUCAAAUACAUGUUUUUAUAAUCACAUUUAAAUAGUUAGUUCUCAAUAUCAUUGUAAUAGCCUGAAUAUUCAGUGGUGUCGGAAUGGUGAUUCGAGAUCACUAAAUCUGACAAACGAGUAGAAAAUAUUAUAAAUUUAGUAAGUAUAAGUUAAAUGUGAAGUUAGAAAAUUUUUUGAAAUAGUGAAUAGUGUACUAGGAAUAAAUAUUAAAAUAAUUAAAAUAAAAAACGAGGUAUCGAGACCUCGAAGAUUUUAAACCGAGCCAUAAAUAUUUUUAGAAAUAUUUAUAGAGUGUCAUUGAGUUGGUAUUAAAGUUUCGUUAGAAAAUUUUAACGUUUGGAUAGUUAAUUAACUAAAAAGGACUAAAUUGAAAAUAGUGUAAAAUUUGUUAAAUUGUGAUUAAAUAGCUUAAGUGACUAAUGAGGAAGGAUUUAAAAGGCAAUUAGGCCCAAAUUUUAUGGGCUGGACUGUUGGGUAAGAAAAAUCAGCAGAAUGUAAGUAGAAAUAGGGGCAAAAUUGGAAACUUAACAAAUUAAACAUUUAAAACAAAGACAAAAGUGAAAAAUCUAGAGAUCUCUUCACAAUUUAUCAGAAAAAACGCCAUAGGAGGUCUGAAACAAGCUGGUUUUUCAUAUAUUUGAAUCAUGUAAGUUUAAUUCUUGAUUAUUUCUUCUAAUUUUUGUGAUUUUGAUACUUUUACAAUUAGGCCCAACUAAUUAUUUCAUUAGUUUUUGAUUUCAUGGCUGAUUUUGAAAGUUUCUAUGAAUACAUGCUGGAAGUAUAUGAUGAAUGAACAUGGAAUUAAAUCUUUAAUUUUGUUAUAUGAUGAUUUUAUUAAGUAAUUUUGAUAGAAAUUGAUUUUAGGGACUUAAUUGUGAAAAAGUUGGGAAUUAAGAUUUGGUGUUGCGGUUUUGAGUAUGAGAGGCUAUGUAGUAGUAUAAAAUAGUCAGAAAAGGUGUUAAUUGAGAAAAAUUAGAUCAAUUGAGGGGUUAAUUGAGUAGGGACCAAAUUGUAAAAACUGUAAAGUUUGGGGUAAAAGUGUAAUUUCGAAAUUUAAGGGCAUAAAUUGUGAAAUGGAUUAGAAUAGAAUUAUAUGCUGAUGAAUGAAUAAAUUUGUAUUUUAGAUCGAGAACCCGAAGCAAGCCGAGGAAAAGAAAAAGUAGUUGAUUAGUCCCUGAACUUUUGCAAAUUCUGCAAAUCGACCCAGGUAAGUUCAUAUGGCUGAAAUUUAAUGAUUAAAUGUUAAUUUCAUGAAUUAUACAAUGUAUGAUGAAAUGUAUUUAUUGUUGAAAUGAGAAUAAAAUAAAAAUGUGAAAAUCGAAUAAAUGAUCAAAUUAAGUGGAACGCCGGAUUUGAGUACUUCUGAUCAAUAAACAAAGUGAUAAGUGGUUACACUUAUCUGAUCAAGAGACAAAGUGAUAAGUGGCUACACUUAUCUGAUCAAGUGAUAAAGUGAUAAGUGGUAGCUUCAGCUACACUUAUCUGAUCAAGUGGCAAAGUGAUAAGUGGUAGCCUAGCUACACUUAUCUGAUCAAGGACAAGUGAUAAGAGGUCAUAUGUCAAAGUGAAAGUGAAGUACUCAAUUUUCCGUAACCGUUCCUUAAUUUUGAUCAAGGAUGGUAAGUGACAAAUGGGCCCAAAGGAAUUAUGGUAAAAGAAUAAGUAGUAGUGAGUUUAUACCAAGGGAACUCACCAAAGAUUGUGGUUGACAGGUAAAUUUAGUAAUGGUGUAUAUUGUAUAAGUGUACAAGUGUUUGGUAAGAUUUAUGUUUUAUGCCUAUGACUUACUAAGCUUUUCUAUAAGCUUACAUGUGUGUGUUUAUUGUUUUGUAGAUAACGUAUUAUACAUUCGNNNNNNNNNNNNNNNNNNNNNNNNNNNNNNNNNNNNNNNNNNNNNNNNNNNNNNNNNNNNNNNNNNNNNNNNNNNNNNNNNNNNNNNNNNNNNNNNNNNNNNNNNNNNNNNNNNNNNNNNNNNNNNNNNNNNNNNNNNNNNNNNNNNNNNNNNNNNNNNNNNNNNNNNNNNNNNNNNNNNNNNNNNNNNNNNNNNNNNNNNNNNNNNNNNNNNNNNNNNNNNNNNNNNNNNNNNNNNNNNNNNNNNNNNNNNNNNNNNNNNNNNNNNNNNNNNNNNNNNNNNNNNNNNNNNNNNNNNNNNNNNNNNNNNNNNNNNNNNNNNNNNNNNNNNNNNNNNNNNNNNNNNNNNNNNNNNNNNNNNNNNNNNNNNNNNNNNNNNNNNNNNNNNNNNNNNNNNNNNNNNNNNNNNNNNNNNNNNNNNNNNNNNNNNNNNNNNNNNNNNNNNNNNNNNNNNNNNNNNNNNNNNNNNNNNNNNNNNNNNNNNNNNNNNNNNNNNNNNNNNNNNNNNNNNNNNNNNNNNNNNNNNNNNNNNNNNNNNNNNNNNNNNNNNNNNNNNNNNNNNNNNNNNNNNNNNNNNNNNNNNNNNNNNNNNNNNNNNNNNNNNNNNNNNNNNNNNNNNNNNNNNNNNNNNNNNNNNNNNNNNNNNNNNNNNNNNNNNNNNNNNNNNNNNNNNNNNNNNNNNNNNNNNNNNNNNNNNNNNNNNNNNNNNNNNNNNNNNNNNNNNNNNNNNNNNNNNNNNNNNNNNNNNNNNNNNNNNNNNNNNNNNNNNNNNNNNNNNNNNNNNNNNNNNNNNNNNNNNNNNNNNNNNNNNNNNNNNNNNNNNNNNNNNNNNNNNNNNNNNNNNNNNNNNNNNNNNNNNNNNNNNNNNNNNNNNNNNNNNNNNNNNNNNNNNNNNNNNNNNNNNNNNNNNNNNNNNNNNNNNNNNNNNNNNNNNNNNNNNNNNNNNNNNNNNNNNNNNNNNNNNNNNNNNNNNNNNNNNNNNNNNNNNNNNNNNNNNNNNNNNNNNNNNNNNNNNNNNNNNNNNNNNNNNNNNNNNNNNNNNNNNNNNNNNNNNNNNNNNNNNNNNNNNNNNNNNNNNNNNNNNNNNNNNNNNNNNNNNNNNNNNNNNNNNNNNNNAAAAUUGCAAUGGAGCAGUUCUUGGACAGCAGCAUUGAUGUAACUUUUAAAAAUCACCAAAAAUAGUGGAAAUAGAAUUAGAAGUUGAGUGAGAUAUAAAAUUAAAGCUGAAAGAGUCUAAUUUCAUAUGAAAGAAGUGGAGUAAGCAAAAUAAUUAUAUACUUUUAGAUAUUUGAAUUUUAGUGAAACAGGGCAAGAAUGUUUUUGAAGUCCUGUUCUGACUUUAGAAAUUCAUUAAAAAUUGUACAGAAGGAAUUAUGAGUUAUAAUUUAUAUGUAUAGAUUCCUUAAUGAGUAUAUUUUCAGUAUAAAUAAGUUUAAUCACCAUAUGAAGCCUUUAAUAAGAUAUGAUUAAAUUUUAGUGAUGAGUGGUCAGGAUAGUCGAUUAGUGAAACAGGGGAGAAUUCAACUAAUAAACUGUACUAAUUGGCUAAAUAAAAAAUUCUGAAAAAUUUAUGGUGAAUAGAUAUAUGAGUCUAGUUUCAGGAAAAAUUUACGGAUCUAAAUUUCGAGUUUCGUAGCUUGAAUUAUAAUUAUUUUAGUGACUGCUGUACAGGUGGACAGCUUUAUUAUGAAUGAUGAAAUUAAAUUUGAAAGUAAAUUUUUAUGCCCCGAACUUUUAAGUUAAGUCAAGUAACGCCUCAUGCUCGACUCCGGCAGCGGUAUUGGGUAAGGGGUGUUACAAUCAUAUUACACAACAACACCUACCUUUAUUAUCAAACUUUAUAUAAACUUAAACAUACCUGAAUCGUUAAAUUCGAACUCACAUUCGGUUUUACCGUACCAUUGCCCGUUGAACCGUUCGGAAUCAAAUAGGAUGCUCAUGAACUCGGCAAGCUUGUACAAUGCCAACGUCCCAGACGUGGUCUUACAUGUAAUCAAAUACCGAUGCCACUGUCCCAAACAGGGUCUUACACAAAAUCAUACACGAUGUCAAUGUCCCAGACAUGGUCUUACACGUAAAUCUCAAAUCGAUGCCAACGUCCCAGACGUGAUCUUACACGAAAUCACAUAUCGAAAUCCUAGGUCAUGACAUAUGUAUCCUAAUUAUUCCUAUGGUUCGUACGGGGCUUUCAGAUGUCGUAAUUCGAUCAAAUCGAACUCGUAAUUAAUUGUCUCAUGCUUAUAUCAAAUUCGACAUUUACCCAAAUAUAAUUAAUAAUUCAAUUCAGCAAUUAUAAAUCAUAUACAUUCGAAAUUAGAGACAUUUAUUCACUUAUGAACUUACCUCGGACAAAGACGAACUGACCGAGACGAUUAUUCGACAACUUUUGAUUUCCCCAAAUCCAAAUCUAAUUUCUUCUUUUCUUGAUCUAAUUUAAUACAAAUUUAACUUAUUUAAUAACAUAUUCACUCAAAUUUGUUCCAAAAAUACAUAAAUGGGAAAAUUACAUUUUAGCCUCUAACAUUUCACAUUUUUAACAAUUUAGUCCCUAUUUCACAAAACACAAAAUACACAUAAUUUAAAAAUAUCUAGCUUGGCCGAAUAUUCCUAUAGCUCAUAUUAGUCCACACAUUUCAUUUAUUUCACAUUUUAGCCCCUCAAUUUUUUUCAUUUUCACAAAUAAAUCCCUAAUUUGGAUUUUUAUUAAAAAUUAUUUAAUAAAAUUUAUAAUCUAUCAACAAAUAUUUAUUUUUCAUUAUCAACAACAAUUUCAUAAUAUUAUCAACAAUGACACUUCUCAAAAUCAUAAUCAAUUCCAAAAUUAACACAUGGACUAGGAAAUAUACAAAGCAAUGAUCUAAAAAACGUAAAAAUUAUCAAAAAAUCAAACAAAGAACAUACCUAAUUUAAUCUUUUAAUUGCCGAAAAUACAAAGCUCGAAAUUCUCUUUUCUUUCUCACGUCUCGGCAGAAUAAAGCCAUUUGCAUGGCUAUAUUAUGUUUUAUUUAAUUUAAUUAUAAGUUAUUAUACUUUUUACCAUUUUACCCUUAAUGCAUUAUCAUUAAAAUCCACCUAAUCUUGUCCAAUAUUGUCCACCACUAUUAUUAAUGGUAUAAUUGACAUGCAAGUGCUCCAAAUUUUCAUUUUACAUUAAUUUGAUGCCUUCAACAAAAAGACCUCAAAAUUUUUCACGUUACGCGAUUAAGUCUUUUUAUCAAAUUAAGCACACAAACGAUAAAAUUUUUACACGAGAUUUUCACACGUAUUUAUUCACAUACUGUAAACACUAAAAGAAAUUUUAAAAUAUUUUUCUGACUCAGAUUCAUGGUCCCGAAACCACUGUCCGACUAAGGUCUAAACCGGGCUGUUACAUAUAUCAUAUGCUCAAAAUGAUUGAGUAAAAUGAUUGAGUGAUGGAUGAGAGAUUUAUGCUCAAAAUAAGCUACUUGGAAAUAUUUGUUGAGGAAAAGAAAAGUUUAGAUCUCACAUUGGUUAAAUACCAAGUACGAAAUGUGUAUAUAUAUGAGAAUCCACUUGAAGGAUGCUUGAAUAACUAAGCUUGAAAUUUUGUCUUGUGCAUAGGAGGUGUAGAUCCAAACCCAUUGGAGUCGGCACCACUUGUAUAGUGUGGGUGAUGCAAAAUGUUUGGACUAAUUGGGCCCAAAAUGGUUCUAAAUUUUAAAUUUUGAAAAGGAAAGUAACCAAAUUACUGAAAUUAAAAGUACAAAAAAAAGCAAAUUCCUAUUUUAUGAAGAGUACGAGAACUUAUGACAUAUUUUAAUCCUAAUUAUGGAUAAACAAUGCAACUAUAGUAAUACUGUUAACCCUUAAAUAGGAAGAUAAAAAGAAAAUGUUCAUACUAAUGGAUUCGGGUUCCAAUGCACGAGAUCUUGUAGCACUUACCAAUGAGGCUCUAUCAAUUAGUAUUACACAGAAGAAAUCAAUUAUUGGUACACUAAUACAAUUAGAUAGGUAGGGAAUUCUUAUUUGUACAAAUGGUACUUUGAGCUUGGAAUGAGCAUGAAGAAAUUAACGAUACUUCUUUAUCUUUUGAGUCUGCUAGAUUGGUCGCUCAAGACCUUUGGUUUCUACUCGGAUCCGAUGAAAAAUAGGAUCACUUAUGGGUUUGUUGAGAAUGAUUCUAAUCAAGUUCAUGGCCUAUUAGAAAUAGAAGGCGCUCUGGUGGGAUCCUCACGGACAGAAAAAGAUUAUGGUCAGUUUGAUAAUGAUCGAGUAACAUUGCUUCUUUGGUCCGAGUCGAGGAAUCCCUUAUAUAUGAUGCAAAACAGAUCUUGUUUUAUCGUUGAUCAGAGAAAUUUCUAUAAAAAAUACGAAUCGGAGUUUGAAGAAGGGGAAGGAGAAGGAGUACAAAACCCGCAACAAAUAAAGGAAGAUUUAUUCAAUCACAUAGUUUGGACUCCUAGGAUAUGGUGCCUACCUAUGAUAAUUUCAACCAAACUAAAACUUGGUUAGCAACUAUAUUUGUUGUAACGCAUGAAAAAAAACUAUUGAUACACCCUGAUUACUGGCACUGUCUCUUAUCCGCACAAUAAGGCGUCGCCGAAGGUGUGGCCGAUGGAUUCACCGUGACCUGUGUUCUUUCCUUUCGAGUUGCGGACAUGAAUUUCACCAUCAACGGUUUUACCUUCUCGGUAGUCUUGAUGAUAAUCAAGAAUAAUACUCGAUAAAAAACAACCAUUGCAAACA
rnacentral:lncRNA from 1 species